rnacentral:lncRNA from 1 species
UUUUUUUUUUUUUUUUUUUUUUUUUUUUUUUUCUCUUUUUUUCUCAAAAAAUUCAAUUUCAACAAUUGAACUUUUUUUUUUUUAAGAAAGUAGAACCCAUCAAUAAAGCUAAUCGGAAUCGAAAAAAAUCUUAAGAUUCCGAUGAAUAAUCGGCAAAUUUGUCAAUGGGCAAACUCCGAUGCAGUUUUCAGAAAUAACUAACAAAAGUUGCUGACCGAAUUUUUUUUGUCCCAAUAGAAACUACUCUUCUUGAUCCAAUAAGAUAAAUUGAUGUAAAUAAUAAGAGAAACAUAGCAGAUUGUCAGUGGCUUUGAUUUUUGAUGAUUCUCUAAAGCUCAAACCAGAUUUGAUUGCUUGGAUGUUCAUUAGUUGAAGUGGUUUUUUCCAUCACAAGAUUAGAGGUUGAAGAAGAGAUGAUGGACUAUGCUAUAUCAGCAUCUCGUUGGUUUGGAAACGAAGAGAAAAUUUAAUGAAAAAAAUAAUGUUAUAUCAGAAUCUCGUUGGUUUGGAAUCCAAGAGAAAAUUCAAUGAAAAAAAAAAGAGAAAAUAAGUGGUAAAAAUUUAAUGGGGUGGGACGCUUUUUGCGUAGUAAAAGCGCGUGUAAUACAUCGCAUCUUAUUUACUUGGACCAUGGUGCCGCAUCAGCUAAAAAGAUGGAUAAAAAUAUACUGAAAUUGAGGUCGGAGAGGAUGAGGGGAUGGUAAUACCUACAUAACUAAUACGUGCAUAACUAAUUGCUACAUAACUAAUAUCUGCAUAUAACUAAUUUCUAUGUAAUUAAUGUUGAGUUUUUUAAGAGGUGUGAAUAGAAAAUGAAUAGGUAUUUUUUGAAAAGACACCAAGAGAAAGGAUGUAACGUGAAUAGACACCUUUUCGGAUUGGAUGGUUAUGACGUUCCAAAAUGUUGUGACUUUUUUGAAAAGUUGCACCUUUUCCGAAGAGUUGAACCUUUAUGAAGGGGUGCACAUUUCUAAACCAUCGUUUCUCUUUAUGAAGCAACACCUUGAUGGCUAUAAAUACCUAAAAUUUUUCUCCAGUAUCGACAUGAAAUUUAAAGAGAAAAAUACUCCUCUUUCUUGGAAAAUCUGUAGUGUAAUUUGCUACCGUUAAGUGAGUUCGUAGUUCAACAGAAUUUGAGGUACUGCUAUUUUGUCAAAGUGAUUCAUUUUAGCCUGGAAGGAUAUAUUCCAUAACCACGGGUACUUGAGGAGAAUGAAUUCGGUGGAGUUGAAUCUUAUUGUUUCAUUUUUUUUUUCUUAAAGUUGGUUUUACUAUUUUUCCAGUAAAUAGUUUAAACUUCAUAUUGAUAGUUCUUCAACUGUUUGAACUUGUGUUUGAAGUUCUUGAAACUUCAUUUUGAUAGUUAAUAGGUUGGUUGAACUUGUGUUGAAGUUCUUAACAUUUGAUUUGCUAUUUUCCAAAAAAUAGUUUGAAAUUCAUUUUGUUGAUGUUAUAAGUUGGGUUGAACUUAUUGUUUAAAGUUCAAAGUUGUAAAUACAGAGUUUAAACUUUAUUUGAUUGUUCAUAUGAUUAUUUGGACACGUAUUUGAAGUUUUUGUUGAAAAAUACAGAUUUUACUUAAUCCGAGAAAAAUAACAAUGUUAAGGAAAUUAUGUAAUAUAAUAUAAAUAUUUCUUUUUUGUGCUUGUUUGGUGAAAGAAAGAAUUUUUUUUAAUCACCAUUUAUAAAUCAAGUACUUGUUUAAUCUGUAUUGUGAAAACUAAAAUCUUUUGAUUUGUACUCUCUCGGUUAGAAGAAUAUAAAAAAUUCACCGAAAAAUCAAUGUAAAAAUUUGGUUCGAAGAAUAUAAGAACUUCACUGAUUCGGUGAACUCUCUUUAUUGAUUUCUGUAAUUUAAAACCUAUGGAUUUUCACUCUGUUUGAAUUUGAUUUUGAUUUGAAGUCAGAAAAACUUUAUCAGGUUUCAAAGUUCAUUCGGUUGAUGAUUUGAAGAUAUAAAAAUUUCAUCGUUGACUGAAAACAAGUUGGAUAAAGAUUAAAGUCUUUAUUGUUAGUAUAUGAAAUACUAAAGUAUAUGUCAAAGAGUUACAGAAAAAUGACGAAUGAAACUGAAUAACAAAUUGAUUCGGUUGUGUAUAAUGCUAUCCCAACGACAAUCAAUGUUGCGCCAUUAAGUCGUUUAGAUAUUGCUUUAGCAAUAAAAACGGUAGAGAAACUAAAAAAAAUAUUUUGGUGCGAACUUCAAAGAAUAGCAGUAAACGAUGUUAUUUUGGCUGACCGAAUUUGAAAUGCAAAUGUUCACAAGUAUAGAUCCUCAUAUUUCAGAAAAAAUUAUGAUUGAAAAUCAAUUGUUUGGUUUGAAAGAUCUUGUGAGUCUUCCAAGAUAGAAGAUGAUAAUGAGUUGAAUGAGAAAUAAUAAAUGAUGGUUGCAAAUCCUGUUAAGGAUGAUGCUCCAAAUAAUAAGAAGAUGAAGUCUUCUGGACAAGAGAAAGAGCAGAACAAAAAACAUUCAAAGGCAAGUGCUACAAUUAUAGUGAUGUUGGACACAAAGCUCUAGAUAGUCAAGUUCUGAAUAAGAAUAAGAAAAGAGAUCAGAUAAACAAGUUGAAAGCAACUGUAAGGAUUGGAAAUAUGUGUGCUAUUAUCACUGAAAGCAAUUUAGUUGGAAAUCCAAAUGAAUAGUGGUUUGAUUCAGGACACUAGACAUGUUUUGCGGACAAAAAAACUUUUGCUACUUAUGAUACUAUUGGUCCCAAAGAAGUGAUCUUCAUGGGAAAUAAUGCAAUAGUCAAGAUUGAAAGAAAUGGAAAGAUAAUCCUAAAAAUGACUUCUGGCAAGGUGUUGACUCUCAACAAUUUUAUUUAUGUUCCUACUAUUAGGAAGAACUUAGUGUCGACAAUAUUUCUCAUUAAAAAUGAGUAUAAGUGUGUGUUUGUUUCAGAUAAAGUUGUAAUAAGCAAGAAUGAAACAUAUGUAGGAAGGUUACUUCAAUGAGGUCUUUUCAAACUUGAUAUAAUGACUGUUGAAAUGAAGAAAGCUAGGUUUCUUCUUUCUUGCUAGAGUCAAAUGAUUUAUGGCAUAGUUGUUUAGGACAUGUCAAUUACAAAAUCUUGUGAAAACUAAUUAGUUUGAAGGUGUUACCUAACUUUGAGUACAAUAAAUCAAAGUGUCAAAUAUGUGUGAAAUCUAAGUAUUCAAAGCAUUCUUAUAAGUUCGUUGAAAGGAAUUACAACCUUUAGACUUAAUCCACACUGAUAUUUGUGAUAUGAAGUCAACAUUAUCUCAUGGUGGAAAAAGUAUUUUAUAAUUUUUUUUAACGAUUGCACUAGAUACUGUUAUAUUUAUUUGAUAAAUGGCAAGGAUGGAGCAAUAGACGUGUUUAGGCAAUAUAAAGCAGAAGUUAAAAAUUAUUUGGAUAAAAAGAUCAAAACGAUAAGAAGUGAUAGGGGUGAAGAGUAUGAAUCUCCUUUUGAGAAGAUAUGUUUAGAAUAUAGAAUUGUUCAUCAAACUACUGCCUCAUAUUCACCUCAAUCAAAUGAGAUUACAGAAAGGAGAAAACCAAACAUUAAAGGAAAUAAUGAAUGUCUUACUCAUAAGUUCAGGUUUACUACAAAACUUGAGGAGGAGGGAGGGGGGACGCUAUCCUUACAGCUAACCGAAUACUUAAUAGAGUGUCCAAUAGUAAGACACAUUCAAUUACAUAUGAAAAAUGAAAAGAAAGAAAACUCAACUUGAAAUAUUUUAAAGUGUGGAGGUGUCUAGCGAAAGUCCAAGUUCCUAUACCUAAAAGGGUAAGAACAGGACCUAAGACUGUGGACUGCGUGUUCACUAAAUAUGCUAAAAGUAGUAAAGGAUGUCAAUUUUUGGUUCAUAAAUCCAAAUAUCUUGGAUAUCAAUGAAAAUUUGGUAAUUGAAUCAGAUAAUGCUAAGUUCUUUAAACACAUUUAUCCGUAUAAAACUGGAUAUGAGCAGUCUAGGGAAGGGUCUAGAUGACCUCGAGAUGAACUAAAUGAGAAUGUACUUAAUAAUGAGAAUCCAAGGUGUAUCAUACGUCAAAGAACGUCAACGUACUUUGGAUCAAAAUUUGUAACAUUUCUUCUUGAAAAUGAGCCUCAAACAUUUAAAGAAGCGAUGUCAUCUUCGGACGCUUUCAUUUUGAAAGAGGCAGCCAAUAGUGAGAUUGAUUUAAUCUUUAGCAACCAUACUAGGAAGUUAGUUGAUCUUCCUCCAAGAAAUAAACUUUUAGGUUCUAAACGUAUCUUCAAAAGAAAAAUAAAAGCUGAUAAUACUAUUAAUAAAUACAAGGCAAGACUUGUAGUAAAAGACUUUAAACAAAAAGAAGGCCUUGAUUAUUUUGAUACAUACUCACCUGUAACAAGCAUAAUGUCCAUUCUCAUGUUGGUUUCCUUAGCGGCGAUAUAUGAUCUUGAAAUACAUCAAACGAAUGUGAAAAUAACAUUCCUAAAUGGAGAAUUCGAGGAAGAAAUAUACAUGGAACAACCUGAGGGUUUUGUGGUUCCUAGUAAAGAAAACAAAGUGUGUAAACUUGUUAGCUCACUUUAUGGACUAAAACAAACACCCAAAAAGUGGUAUGCAAAGUUUGAUCAAAUCAUGUUGGAAAAUGGCUUCAAGAUAAAUGAAUGUGAUAAAUGUGUUUACAUUAAAGAUACUCUAAAUCACAAAGUCAUUAUCUGUUUGUAUGUGGAUGAUAUGUUGAUCAUCAGUAGAGAUAUUUUUGACAUAAAUGCUUGAGAGCAAGUUUGAUAUGAAAGACCUUGGAGUUGCGGAUGUGAUCUUAGGGAUAAGAAUCGAUAAAACUCCACAAGGGUUGGCGUUGUCACAGUCUUAUUACAUUGAAAAGAUAUUUGACAAGUUCAAGUAUUUGGAUUUUGGUAUUGCCAAAACUCCAUUAGAAGUGAGCUUUGAACUUCAGAAUAAAGGUGAAAAUAACUCACAGUUGGAAUACACAAGAGUGUUGGAAAGUUUAAUGUAUAUCAGAAAUUAUACGCAAUUGGAUAUAGAAUAUGCUAUUAGUAAAUUGAGUCGGUACACGAGUAAUCCUAGUCAAACUCAUUGGAUGACAAUGACAAGAGUUUUAGGGUAUCUAAAAAAUACUCAAGACUACUCUUUGCGUUAUAAUAAAUAUCCAUCGGUAAUUGAAGGAUAUAGUGAUGCAAAUUGGAUCGCCGGAUCAAAUGAAGUAAAAUUCAUAAGUGGGUAUGUAUUUAUUUUAAGUGGAUGAGCAGUUUCUUGGAAAUCAUCCAAACAAACAUGCAUUGCCCGAUCUAUAUUGGAAUCUGAAUUUAUAGCAUUAGAUAACACCGGUGAAAAAGCUUAAUGGUUUCAGAAUUUCUUAUAAGGUAUUCCUUAUUAGUCCAAACCAUUAGCACCAGCAUGUAUACACUGUGAUAAUCAAGUGGCGAUAAAUGGUAUAGAGAUCAUGAUGUAUAAUGGCAAAUCUCACCAUAUAAGAUGGAGACAUAAUACUGUUAGAAAAUUACUCUCUAGUGGAACUAUUAUUGUUGACUAUGUGAAGUCAAAGAAUAAUGUGUCGGAUACACUUACAAAAAAGUCCUAUCUAGAAAGGGAGUUGAUAGAUCAUCGAAGUGAAUGGGUUUAAGGCCUACGACAAGUUAGCAUGGCGAUAAAUCUACCUAGUAGAUUAAAGAUCCCAAGAGCUAGGAUGAUACACGAACAAAGUACUGAAUCGAAAACCAAACUACGAUAUGAAUACGAAAGCUAAAAAUAGAUAGAGAAGCAGUAAGAUAGACACAAUGCAAGGAAUUGAAAGCAAAUAAAAGGUGUAUCAAACCCUAAACCCUCAAUCAAUUAAACCAAACAAAGCACCUAAAUCUUACGUAGACCUCAAGGGAAUCGAUUCUCAAACAACCCACGUUUCUAAAUAAAAGAUCAACACAAGCGAAUCCACGCCUUCCUCACACACUCACAAGUGUUCAAAUUCAUAAUUCAACAUAAACUACUUACUAAAAUAAAAAGAUGUACUAUUUGUAGUCUAGGCUAGGUAAUUACAUCACAUGGGCCCAAAAGUGACCCAUUUAGGAAAGAUAAACUCAUAGAAGCCUAUUAGGCACUUGAUUAAGCAUAUGGGGCACACAUGGGGCACAUCCCAAGGGUAUAGUGGGUUGUUUUGACCCGCUCUAGCAGAUCUAGAGCAGGUUGGGCACACCUUCAAAGCGAAUGGGGUGCAUCUCCUCUUUCGGAGUCUUUCUAAGCUCGUUUGGUCUUCUAUUAGCCUCUCUAAUGUCCCUUGAGUCUCCUUGGUCAUCAUAAUCAUCACAUGUGCACUUUUCAAUAGCCCUCAAGAAAUCUUCAAGUGUCAUUUGAUCUGUAAUCAUCCUCUCUAGCAACUCGGGGCCUAUUUGGCUUGUAUCAUCCUUUCCUUCUUGAAUAGGAUUCGACCUCGAAUCUAAACCUUGCAACACCAAAGGAAGGACAAACAAAAGCAAUAUUCUCACGGCAUGAGGGUUAGAAUUAACAUAUUCAAUAUACCAUCAUGCAAAGGUUGUACAUGGUUAAGAUAUAACCAAGCAUCAAAAUGUUCAACAAAGGGUGUAUAACCUCACAAAGUAAGAACUACUUGGUCAUUCAAGAGAUUUGGACAAAGAGGUAUGCUAAGGGAACCAUUGUAAUCAUUGAACUACUCAUAAAGGCUCACAUGGAUUCCAAGUCUUAAUAAGCUCAUAACCCCACUAUAGCACUCAUAUUUGUUGGAGACCCUUUCCUUACACAACUUUGGCCUCUCAAGUAGAUUAGAAAUCUUUAAGAAAGACUUUCUGUCAUAGGGAUGAGUUCCAAGACCCUCAAUCAUGGUUGGCUUAUCUUCUUAUCCAAACACCAAGUGGUGUGGAGAAGAACCUUCAUAUUUUAAAUGAUCAGCGGGAUCAAAUGGGUAGAGUAUCCAUAGACAUGGGUUUAGAAAACACUUUUUUUCCCCAACAUUACCACCAAUACAAUUAUUUGUACCCUCUAUACUAGAAUGAUCAUUAACAAAGGCAAUUAGAGGGUCAUUCCUAUUCAAUCGACCAACAAUCUCAACAUCACCAUUCACUUGAUGUCCUUUAAAUACUUCACAAACAUUCCCAAGUGAUGUUAUAGGUUCACAUACAAGUAGAACCUUAUGACUUCCACAAGACAAUGUACUAUCACUUAUCUCAAUGUCUUUAACCCUAGGUGGACAUAAAUCUCUCUUACUAGAAGAAUCAAUUUUGUCAUCAUAAGGAUCAACUAAUGUUUCCACGCUUUUAAGUUGUACAUUAUCAUCAUGAAGUAAGGAGACAUUAGGCUCACUUAAAGAUAAACUAUAUUUCAUACUUAAAUUUGGACUGGUCUGUUGGGUAGAAUAAGUUACUUUGGAUUAGGACUUAGUCAAUUCCAUUUAAUUUUUAGCCAAAUUGAGUAUCAUUGGCCGAUGUUAUUGCAAUUGUGGCCAAAUUUAUUUUAAUUAUGGCCAAACUUAAUAAAUGACUAAUUUAACCACAAUUUGUGAUGUAUUAAAAUCUGAUUUAAUUUCGAGCUUCUUGAUUUAAUAAAAUCAAAUAAAUAUUUUUCCAAAUAAAUUAUUUUAAGACAAAAUUAUAUUUAGAUUAAGAUUUUAACCAUUUGAAUCAAUUUUUGAGAUGACCAUUGAUUAAAUAUAAUUGUUACUUAAAAUGAAAAAAUUACCUAGAUCAAUACUUUAUAAAACUUUUAUAUAGAUAAAAUAAAUGUUAUAAUUUUAUUUAAAUUUGAAGAAACUCAGAAUUAAACUUAGUUGUGGAGGGUAAACAUUAGGUGUCAACAAUUGCCCCCUCCCUUUGGAUAGGGUGGAUGUAAGUAGCCCUGGACAAAGAGAGUUUGGCGUUUCUAAUUUUUGUCUGACCACAAAUUCAUUUUUGAAAAAGGUUGUUUCGCACGAGUUUUAUAUAGUUAUGGUUGGACUUCGGUAUCGGGUUUCCUAGAAAAAAUAUUUUUUAUUUUAGACGAUCUUUGGUUCAAGACGAGUGACAAGUUGAUUGCGUUUGCAGAAAAGAGGAUUGUAACCUCUUAACCAUGAAUAUGGAGCUCUUCUCAUCCAUAGUUAAGAAUUUACCCAAACAUAAUUUCCGCAGCUUUAGGUGUCCUAUCACUUGAAUUUAAAGGAAAAAGAAGGUUAUCCUCGACAUGAGUAUAGAAAUAUCCCGAAAGUAAAGCUGAAACUAAAAUAUCCCAAAGUACCAUAUGCCUUCAAACAGGGGUGUGGUUUGCUGGUGGUGGCAAUCAUCCUUUAGCUCACGUCCAAAGAGUUUGACGUCCCUCUCUAGAUUAUGUCCUGAUUUGAUGCUAAGAAAAAGUUCUAUGUUGUGCUGCAUCUUUUUUAGAGUCAUCCGCACCUGCGGUUUUGAUUUGAGAUUUUCAUCCUUUCGGAUGCUCUAAAUAAUAUCUCAAAUAAAAAUUGUUAGUAAUAAACAUAAUUCACAAAAUAAAUAUAUAGUAUUUUUACCAUAUCUCCACGUGAGUUGUUAUUUAAAAAGUGAAUUCAUCCCUUCAUGAUGUCUCUUUUGUUGAUUGAAUAUGUCGUCAAAGUGGGGUGACCUUCUUGGACAUCGAAGACACUUUAUGUAGAAUGAUCCCUGCAAUCAUGUAAUCUUAUACUGGUACGAUGACCUUUUUGGUCACCUAUAAUGCUUUUUUAUGUGAAAUUUUAACCUCUUCAUAUAUUGACAAUGAUCUUUUGUAUGUGACCUCGGGUAGGUUUUGCGCAUCUUUCAUAUCGAUAUGACUUAUAGCUCCCCCUUAAAGUUUCAAUAUUUGGAUAAUCUUGCGCAUUAUUUGAUAUUGGAUAUGAGGGGACUUACAAAUAUUCUUUGAGUUUCUAGCUUUUAAGGUAAUCCUGCACAUUAUCUAACCUUGGACAAGAGAUGUCUUACAGAUAUCCCUCGAAUCGCUAGCUUUCAUUUAGUCCUGCACAUCAUCCAGCCUUGGAUAUAAUAGGUCUAAUAGAUAUCUCUCAAAUUGGUAAUCUUUGGGUAAUCCUGUGCAUAAUUGAUCUUGUAUAUGAUGCGGCUUAUAGAGAACCCUUGGACUUACCAAUUUGAUAAUCUCUCAUAUUCUUCGAUAAGGAUUUAGUUCCGACUUAUGGUUAACCUUUGGACUAUCGUUUUUUAGGUAACCUUGCACACUAUCUGAUUAUUAUGUUGUUUUGGAUCAUGGAUGACCUAUGGACUAUCAACUCAUAAGUAAUCUCUCACACUAUCCUAUUUUAAAUAAUGUGACUUAUAGAUAACCCCCAGAUUAUCAACUUCUAGAAAAUCUCAUAUGUCAUCCACUUUCAGAUAGAGACUUAAAGACGUCACUUCUAGUCAUGUGAUUUUCAACUUGAUAUGUCGAUGUAUGCUAAUCCAUAAAAUCCUAAAAUAUCCUUGACACAGGGCUACAUCGCCUUUUGCGUGGUCAAUAAAUAUAAAAUGCUGAGAUAUCCUCAACGCUAAAUUAUACUAUCUUCGUAUGGUCAAUUGAUAGUGGUGCUCCAAAGCACCUUCCAAGGCCAAACCUGAUCGUCUUGCAUGGUGAGAAAUCAUGGAGACUUAGUUGAAUGACAUGAUGGACCUCUCGACAAUGGCAUGAAAUAAAAUUGUCCUCUCGGUAAUGAUAUGAAAUGGCCCUCUCGACAAUAAAAUGAUAUGAAAUGGCCCCCUUGACAAUGGAAUGAAAUAUCCCUCUUCUCAAUGAAAUGAUAUGAAAUGACCCUCUCGGCAUGGCCCUUUCGGCAAUGGAAUAAUAUGAAAUAACCCUCUCUGCAUGACCUUCUUGAUAAUGAAAUGAAAUAGCCCUCUUGUCAAUGGAAUGAAAAGAUCCUUUCGACAACGGAAUGAAAUAGCAUGGCCUUCUUAGCAAUGGAAUAAAAUAAAAUGGAUCUUUUGGCAAUGAAAUGAUAUGAAAUAGCCCUCUCAGCAUGGACCUCUUAGAAAUAGAAUAAAAUGGCCCACUUGGCAAUGAAAUGAUAUGAAUUGACCCUCUUGGCAAUGGAAUGAAUGACACUAUUGGUAAUGAAAUAGCCCUCUCGGCAAGGCCCUCUUUGCAAUGGAAUAAAAUGGCUCUCUUAGGAAUGAAACGAUAUGAAAUGGCCCUCUUGGAAAUGAAAUGAUAUGAAAUGGCCCUCUUGGUAAUGGAAUGAUAUGAAAUAGCCCUUUUGGCAUGACCCUCCUGGCAAUGGAAUGAAAUGUCCCUCUUUGCAAUGGAAUAAAAUGGCUCUUUCGGAUAUUUGAAAAUAGUUUUACCUGAGUCCGCCUGUCUGCGUUUUUUCUUUCUACAUGUACCUAUACUCAAGGUAGAAAAUUAGUAGACAUAAUAUCGCUUUCGAUGGCGACUACAGGCAAACAUCAUGACAGUUUAAAUGAAUAAUUAUAAUGACUUAGUCAGUUAUUCAUCUUUUUUUUUUGGAUAAGUAUUUAAACAAAAAAUCUACAGAAUGUAAACAAAUGGGCAAAAUCCCUUUUUGGGGGACCACGCGAAUGUCGUUUGCUUUGCCUCAUGGCGAAUUUUGAGAAUGACUUUUUGCUCUUACUCCUAUUGUGUGAUCCCUUUGAUUGCUGUAUUUACUAUGCCGACUCUUUUGAAUGCACUUGUACUCAAAGUAAAUAUUUAGUAGAUACAAAGUCGCUUUUUCUAGCGACUAUUUUUUAGAAAAAUUCUAAAUAAAAUAUUCAAAAAGAGGAUAAAGUACCUUUGUUUUUCAUUCAUGAUCUCCUGAAAUGAGAGAGACAACUCAAAAGGUCCUUGAUUGAUGGGUAUUGAACCCGUCUUUAGGGCUACUAAAAAAUACCAUUCUUGAGCAUUAUAUGCUUUGGUGUGGUUCCUAAUUCGCUUGGGAAUUUUUGAAAAAGAUUUCUAUUUUUGUGUAUUGAUCCCUGCAUCCUCAGAAAAAUGGUUAGUUUGAGUAAAACUACUCUGUGUUGAUCUUCUUUGAUCUCUGGUUUUCUCCUUGCCAUCUUUCGGGUGCUCCAUCGCCCUGACUCCCCGACUCCCGUUCCAAUAGAUUCUUAGGCAUUCACUAAGUUAAAAGGUGUGUAUUGAUUUUCAAAAAUAGUCUUAAUUUUAAAAAAAAUUAGUUUCAAUUUUUUUUAAAAGCUUUUAGAAAAUCGCUGCCAACCAUGUCAUAUACUAGCUCAACGAAUGUUUUCCUCUUGAGGCUUGACUAUAUCUGACAUCUGACGGAGGAUUUCUAGAAACUCAUCAUCGUCAUUAAGGUUUUUUACCAUAAGUUCUGUUAUAGCUGGGGAUUUAGUCUAUCUAGACUUUGUUGCAGCUAGUGAUUUCUAAAACUUGACUUUGACCUCUGGUGUUGGGGAAUUUGAAAUAUACUCCAGUAUAUUAGUGGAAUUUUGAGGACCUCCUCAAAAUUUUUGCCCCAGUUUAGUGUUGUUUGAGAUGAUCUCAGCUUGAGUAGACCCAAAGUCUUUGUUGUUCUUUGUUCUCUUUGUUGGAUAAUUAUCUUCUUCUUUUGAAUUUUUGAGAUUCAUUCUCGAAAAUUCUUCCCAAGUUUCCAUUUUCUGGGAUGGUAUGACUGAGCCAUUGGGACACCUACGUGUUAUGUUGAUUAGAAUCAAAGGCGAAUUGAUCCAAUCUCAUUUUCCAAAGAGCACCUCUAAGCAGAAAUAUACCCACUAUAUAAAAGUCCGACCAAACAUACUCCAAGUCUCUCAAUAAUCGUUAUUAAAACUUCCUAAAUUCUCGCUAUCAUUUCAAGAAGAUUGACUAUGGACUCAGAAGAAGCCAUUAUAGAAAGGACCGAAAAGAGCAAUAGGAGAAUUGCUAAAAUAUGAUUGGUGAAGUUAGACCAAAAAUAAGAUAUACUAAAGGCGAAAAUAAGAAAGUGCCUAAGAAGAUUGUUGUGGCCAAAAUAAAGAUCACCAAAGUCAACCUAUUGAUUGAGUUCGAACUACGUAAAGUCUGAUUUCUCCUCCGUGAGAUGCGUAGGCAGCCUUUUGGUACGACCCCUAUCUUCAAAAACUCUGUUGUCCUCUACUUUCUUGAAAGAAGAAAUAAGGUCGGAAAGAAGAAGAGUUGAACCUUCCUGAUAAAUUUCACUUAUCCAUAUCAAUGAGAAAAAUCCAGUUCAUUGAAAUUCUCAAAUCAUCAUUACUCCAUGGGUCAAUUUGCAUGAGAUGAGAAACAACUUUAUGCGUUUACUUUCUGCGUUAUCAUCUUGUGUUGCUUAUUACUAACGUAAUCUAACACACCAGCCUUUGAGUUGUUUUUAAUUUGCAGGUAAUAGAAACUACUCUAUGUUGGCAUAAAAUGGCCCUACUUGACUAGAUAAAAGUGAACAAGAGAUUUCCCUCUUGACUAUAACUUUGUUAUAGGAAAGGUAAAAUGACUGGCAGUAAAAUUGGACUCUACCAGUCAUUUUUUUAAAAAAAAUAUAUAAGUGAUGGUCUCGAGAAUGGAAUAGGAAAAAAAGUGAUGCUAUCAUGGAAGAUUUUUCAAGACAGUCAAAAUCAAGGAAGAUAAAUUGGAGGAAACGUUGUUGAACUGGACUUUCACUCCACUUAUUACUCCCCAAGCAAUAGGAUAUAUAGAAAAGUGAAAUUUAAUUUUUCACAAAAUCGGUGGUAAUACGGAUGAGACCCGAUUCCCACCCUUUAACUUUAUUUAAUUCUCUUGUGUUUUUAUGUUUUUUAAAAGGCGUCGACUCACACUCGUGCGGGUUAUGGCUAGAGUUUGUAAAUUUUUCCUCAAAACUCAAUAUAAGCCUCACCUAUUGAGAUAAUCCUUAUUGUUUAUUUUGUUAUCUACUUGAUAUUGUCAAAAUUGUUCGAUUUUGAUAAAAGUAAUAAAGAUCUAAAACCUUCUAAUACAUGUCAUGUCAAGAGCAAAAUGAACAAAUCAGAAAAUAUGAUGACGCAUAGGAGACAAUGAUCUUAGAAUGGUCAAUGAAAGAAUCAAGGAGUUCAAGAAUCAAGAAAAUCCUAACCUAGAAAAAACUGAGGUGGUUAAUCAAGGGAACAACGACCAAGUUAAGAGAAUCAGGGUCGACGUCUAUCUAGAAAAGGCAAGGAAGAAGGAAUUUUAUCAAUUCUCUCAAGUGUAAGUGGAAGGUUGAUCCUUCCUUCCAUCAAGACAAAUGCAAUGGAAAACGUCACGUCAUCCAUAAAGUGCUAUCCAUAGAAGUCUUAAUUCUAUCCUCAUGGGAGGGAUAAGAGUAUACAUGGGCAGUUAAUUUUAAAGAUGGAUCUUAUUACGAACUACGUUUGACCCGAAUUUCCAAGAAAGGGAUACGUAGGCGGCCUAUGUCGGCUUUGGUCUACCCCUUAAGAGAAUUUACCCUUCCCUUCUAUGUAUGAACUAUGUGAUGACCUAAAUUCUCAAAAAUGAGAUACGUAGGCAGCUUAUGUCAGCUUUAAUCAACUCAUUAGAUUUUUCUAUAUAUCCAUAGAAUAUCCCUAGCAAUUUUAUAGAAUCUUGGUAUCAAAUUACUCAAGCAGCAAAUGAACUCACAUUCAAGAAAACCAAGCGAAUAUCAUCCUAACUUCCUUCAUCCUCUCUCUAUUUAAAUGCUAAUAAUUCUUUAGGAUUCAUAGUAUUACCAUAUUUCCAUCGCUUUCUUUAAAAGAAGACUUAAGGGACACGAAAGGUAAUAAUAAACAACUUAUUCGCCUAAAAAUCAAGACUCAAUGAAACUGGAAUAAAACUUCAAGCCUUAGCAAUAAUCAGGUUUGAGUAGAGAUUCACAAUUUAAACGACAAUGUGAUUAAGCUAACUACUAAAUGUAAGAACACUAAUCCAAACAAAUUUGACUGGUGAAAGAAAAUCAACAGCCGGCUAUGAAAAAUAACAUUUAAUGCUGAAGUUUAAAAUUCAUCUGAUGACCUCGAAACUAUGUGAAUCAAAAUACAAAGAUGAAAUAAGAAUUACAAACGAUCCCAACAUAUAAUAAUUACAAAACUACGGAGUAGGAGAUGAAGAAGAAAAACGAUAACAAACUAAAAGGUAAAAGUUUUUACCCUUUUAGGGGUAGAAAACCAGAGUACGAGUUUUGUAAAAAAUUCUUACCACCACUACUAAUCGGAUUUCUAAGCUCAAAAAGAGCCUUAUAAGAAUUUUGAUCAAAGUUUUCAAUGACCGAAGAAACUUUUCUCGGCUAAUUUUUAAAAAUUAUUUCAAGACUUUUUUUCUCAAGAUUUUUCCCCUUUUUUGCCUCUCUUUUCAGCUCAACAAAGGAUUUUAUAUAGAAGGAAUUUUGGGGAUGGAUUGUUAUUUUCAUGGCGAUGUGGGAUGAGAAUUUCAAGGGCAAUUUGGGAAUUUAGCUAAGGGAAUUUAAAUUUUAAAAUUGGGAUAGGAUGAGUUGUACGAAAGUCGUACUAUUUGGUACGUUGAGUUGGUGAGAUUUGUUGUUUAGCGUCGAUUUGUAGUUGUUGUUGUUUGGGUCGGGUUUGUUCGAGUAUUGUUGACGUUAAUAUCAGGUCUAUCAUCAUUGUUGGCUGUUGUUGUUGGUUUUUGAUGGGUUCGGGUUGUAGCUGCUGUUACGGGUUGAAGUUGUUGUUGAUUGUUGAAGUUUUUAGAGUUGUUGUACGCGGACUGUCGGUAUUGUUUUUUUAAGAUGCAGCUGAAGGCUGUUGUACUCAUUUUUGUUGAAGAAAGAGGAAUCGGGCCAAAUCAAGAUUGGUUAAAUGGGUUAGUGAGGUAUUUGGCUGAAGGAGUUGGGCCACUUGGUUGGUAAGAAAUUAAAGGGUUAAAAUUGGGCCGAUCUAUUGAGUAGAAUAGGUUACUUUGGAUUAGGAAUUAGUCAAUUUCAUUUAAAUUUUGGCCAAAUGGAAUAUCAUUGGCCAAUUUUAUUACAAUUGUAGCUAAUUUUAUUUUAAUUAUGUCCAACUUUAAUAUAUGACUAAAUUGAAUCACAAUCCAAGAUGUAUUAAAACCCGAUUUAAUUUUGAGUUUCUUGAUUUAAUAAAAAUAAUAAAUAUUUUUUCAAAUAAAUUAUUUUGAGAUAAAAUUAUAUUUGAAUCAAGAUUUCAACCAUUCAAAUCAAUUUUUGACAUAAUCCUUGAUUAAAUAUAACCGUCACUUAAAAUGACAAAAUUACCAAAUCAAUACUUUAGAAAGAUUUUAUAUGGUUAAAAUAAAUGUUAUAAUUUUAUUUAAAAUUGAAGAAAUUCAGAAUUAAACUUAGUUGUAGAGGGCAAAAAUUAGGUGUCAACAACACCUUUAUGAAGGGGUGCACCUUCCUAAACCAUUGCUUCUCUUCAUGAAAGAACACCUUGAUGGAUAUAAUACCUGAUUUUUCCCCAGGGAUCGACAUGAAAUUUGAAUAAAAAAUACUUCUCUUUCCUGAAAAAAUUGUAGUGUGAUUUGCUACCGUUGAAUGCGUUCGUAGUUCGACAGAAUUUGAGGUGCCGCUAUUUUAUCGAAGUGAUUUAUUUUAUCUUGAGAGGAUAUAUUACAUAACCUCAGUCACUUGAGGAAAAUAAUUUUCUUAACGACACACCGUGAAUUCGGUGGACUUGAAUCUUUCUAUUUCAUCUUUUUUUCUUAAAGUUGAUUUUAAUAUUUUUCCAGAAAAUACUUUGAACUUCAUAUUGAUAGUUUUUCAACUUUUUGAAUUUGUGUUUGAAGUUUUUGAAACUUGAUUUUGAUAGUUCAUAGGUUGGUUGAACUUGUGUUGAAGUUAUUAACAUUUGAUUUUGCUAUUUUCCUGAAAAUACUUUGAAUUCAUUUUGUUGAUGUUCAUAAGUUGGGUUGAACUUAUUGUUAAAAGUUCAAAGUCGUAAAUACAGAGUUUAAACUUUAUUUUAUUGUUCAUAUAAGUAUUUGAACAUGUGUUUGAAGUUUUUAUUGAAAAAUAUAAGUUUUACUAAAAGCCCCCCAAAAUAACAAUUAAUACUUGCAUAACUUUAAUCAGUAAUCAAAUUGACCCUAAGGAGGCGUUUAGUAAAAUGUAUUACUAGAAAUAGUCCAUGUAUUAAGUGUGUGAUCAAUGUGUAACUAAUACAUGUAUUAGUUAUACACCCUACAUGAUAUUAUAGGGUGUAUGACUAAUACAUCCCAUUUGAUGAUAUUAGUAAUACAUGAGUUUUAAUAUCAUGGGACUAAUAUGUGUACAUACAAUAAUAUCCCUAAAAUUCUUUCAAGCAUUUUUUUUAUCUUCUUGAUUUUAUUUUUUAUAUUUGUACUGAUAAAUUUGUUUAAAUACGUUUAUUUAUAAAUUUUAUUAUUUAGAGAGAGUUGUUGUUGCUAAAUAAAAUAUAAUAUCAAUCGAAUAUGGAGGGUACACCAUGCUAUCAACGAUUUCGAUAGUGGAACAUCACACCUGAAAUUUAGUAACAAAAUUUUAUUCAUAUUUUAAUUUUUAACUUGACUAAUUUAAUGAACUAGAAAAUCCAACAAAAAUUCAAGGAUAUAAUUGUAAAGGAGAUUUUUGUAGCAUUUUAAAUCAAACGCAAUACAUGGUAUAUCUAAUUUUUAAUACAAUGAAUUAAACACUUAUUAAAAAAUAAUCCAAGCACUACAAUUCCUACAUUACUAAUCCGUGCAUUACUAAUCCCUGCAUUACUAAUUCCUGCAUUACUUUUCUUCGUACUAAAUGACCCCUAUGUGAACUAAUCUAUAUCUAUACUAUAUUAAAAGUGUGAAGAGCCUUAUAAAUAUUAUUUGAACUUUUUUUCCUACAUUAAAAGUCUCUCUUUUAGACAAAAUCGUCUUUUCACCUUUUUUUUUUUUCUAAUUUUCAAUUAUUUUUAUAAAUUUAUAAUUACAAAAAAUAUUUAAUUAUUACCUAAAUCUAGGAUUUCUUUUCAUAUUUUUAGGUGUAAAAAUCCGUUUCGUCCACUGAUAACACAAAAAUUAUGCUUUUUUUUGUGAAAAAAUUAAAGUGUCGUAUUCUUUUGGGUUAGGAUUCUUAUUUUCUUCUUUCUAUCAAUUAGGUUUAGGUUUAAUAAUCUCUUUACAAGCAAUUUUAUUGCAUUCACAACAUGCAAUGCAAUACAAGAUAUCUAUAAGUCAAUCUUUCUCGAGGUAAUUUUCAUCUCUUUUCUUUUUAUGACGUUGAAGUUCUGUGCCUCUUAUUAGUAAAUAACCCAGGAGUGGGGCUAUCUUUGUCCGACCUCUUCAUAAAAAAAUUAUGAUAUAUGACUAGGUCAAAUUUUGAUCUUAUAGAAAUAUAUAGAUAUAAUCAUUGACACCUCUAGGUACAAGUUGAAGCUUCAGUCUAGCUGUUGAUGUGAUGUAGGCCUUCUGGAAGGUCGUGAGUUUCUAGCUUAGGUGGUGAAAUAAAUUUAUUUUUUUGGCUGCACAUCACUUUUUUUAGUUUUAUACACAAUUAGAAAUCUUGAAUCUGACAUUCUUUGUUAGUAGGGGCUUUGAGCUAAAAAUCACAAAAGAGUUUGAAAAUGAGGUGUAGGUGACUCAAGUCUUAAUAAUUGAGUGUAGCUGACAAUUACUUUAUUAUGGAUUAAGAAAGUUGGGUAAGUUUGAGAAUAGUCCACAAGUUUUUAAAUUUACACUUUGAUCCAAAUGUUUACCCAAUAUAACGGGAAACAGAGGACAAAAACGUGUUUCUUUCUCUUCUCAUCCAUUGUUGUUUUAUCUCUCUUACCGAUUUUCGUUGUUCAUUGUUGCUGCUACUUUAUUCAUCAUCUUCUACUUUAUUAUCAUCUUCAUCUUCUUCUUAUUGACCAUUGUUGUUGUUGUUACCGCUACUACUGCUAUUUGACUAAUUAUUUAGGUCAGAUUUUGUUUAAUACAUCACUUGCCACUUUGACAUUACUUCACAGGAGACUUUGGUAAAUCAAAUUAUAAUUUUUAGUUGAAUUUGUCAUAUGAUAACUAUUAUUGUGUUGUUUUUUCAACAAUAGAUUGCACGCAAACAUGAAUGCAACAUAACAGACAUCUGUUUAAAUAAAACAAUCAUUUGUUGCGAAAAAAUAAACUAUCUGUUGCAAUAGAAGACAUAUGUUGGAUUUAUGUUUAUGGUUCUAUAGUGCCGUAACAUGAAUCACAGAUGGUCCAUCUGUUACAACAGACCAGUUAUCUGUUGCAACAGGAUAAAUAUCUAUUGCAAUAUAUUAUUAACAUGUUGCAACAAAACCUGAACUCGAUUCCAACAGAUGUGUCAGUUGUUGCAACAGUGUAAAUAUCUAUUGCAAUAUAUUAUUAACAUGUUGAAACAAAACCUGAACUCGAUUCCAACAGAUGUGUCGGUUAUUACAACAGUGUAAAUAUCUAUUGCAACAGAUUAGUAACUUAUUGCAAUAGAACCUGAAGUCGAUUUCAGCAAAUGUGUCAUCUAUUGCAAUAGGAUAAAUAUUUGUUGUAACAAAUUAAUAACCUAUUGUAAUAGAACCUGAAAUCGAUUCUAACAUAUGCGUCGUCAGUUGCAACAGAUGUAUAGUGUGUUGCAAUAUAUGAUUCACCUGUUAUAAAAGAUGACUCAUCUGUUGAAAUCAACUUCAGGAGCGUAACAUGAAUCCCUACAGGUAAGUAAUCUUUUAUGACUGAUCACUUACUUGUUAAAACAGAUUACACAUCCGUUGGAAUUCAUGUUAUGGCACUAUGAAAUCACUAUUAACUUUUUUUAACAAAUGACUUUAUUUAGGUGCCAUUAAUAGAGGGAUCAAUGCUGAUCGGGGUGGAUUAUCAUGGUCAAUGGAUCGAGAAGAGCAAUCAAUAUUUAUAGAGUUGGAAGGAGGGUGAAAUGCUAGUGACGAUAGCUAUGAAAGUCCAAAGUGAUGUUUUUUAUGAUGAUUUUGUAAACUUAAUUAUCAGCUAUUAUGGACUGAAUUAUCAACCGGAAGAACUCAUCAUCAGCUACAUGCACAACUUCUUUGAAAAUUAGAGGGUACUACCUUUCAAGAUAACCGAUCAGGUUCGGUUACGUUUUUAUCUUAGUUAUUCAUUCAGGUCGGUGUUAAGUGUGUACGUGGUUCAAAAAAUGAGAGAGAAUUAGAACCAGAAUGUAAAAAAAGACCAAAAACAAAACAUCUUUGAUGAUAGGUUGGAUGAUCUAGACAUGAACAUUCUAGAUGAUGAUCAAACACCUACGUCCAUUGAUACAGCCAAUACGGUGGGCAGUUCUUCUCGAUCUACACAGUCUGGCAUUCGUCCAGACGACGAGGCCAAUUUUUACAAGGGAAUGUCAUUCAAGGACAAGAAAGAACUAUCUACUAAUUUGUUUCUUUCUUACUUGAAAAAAAAUUUUAGAAUAAUGAAGGUGAUUAAUUCGAGCAAAGUCUUUUGCUACAAAGGUGCUAAUCCGAACUGCAAGUGGUGGUUGAGAGCGGUGAAGUACGUAAGUUCUGACAGAUUCGUCAUUCAUAAACAAGAAAAGUAUCACAAAUGUGGUUCGGAGCAUAUCUCGAGCCAAAAUCCUCAUGACAUGACAAAGGUCCUCGGUGAAUAUUUCAAGAAUAGAUUUCCCAAUGGCAAAGGCCCUUUUACAAGGGUUAUGGACAAUCAACUCCUUACGAAAUUGGGUAUCUUGGUCAGUUAUUAUAAAAUAUAUACGGCUAGGGGAAUUGACAAGGACUUGGUUAGGAGGACACACGAGCACUGGUAUGCAGUCCUUAAUGCCUAUCGUUACAUGCUUGAGUUCACAAAUCCCGAAAGUAAGACGACAUUGCAUGUUGUUGAAAAUGGAAGGUUCAAGUAAUUUUUUGUAUCCUAUUGUACUUGGAUUCAAGGUUUUCAACAUUUGAGAAAAGGCAUAGCUAUCAGCGGUACCUUCUUAAGGAGCAGGUACAAUGGAGUUAUGCUAUCGGCGGUGGCACAGGAUGCACAGAAUCAUAUAUUUUCUGUCACUUUUUGUGUCGCGGACAAGGAAUAUGAUGCCUCUUAUGGAUAUUUUUAUGAACAACUGAGAAGCCAUAUCGAAGAUACUGAAGAGUUGUGUUUUGUUUUGGAUAGGUAUCCAAGUAUUCCAAAGAUGGGUUCAAUUUUCUUCAGUUAAACUCACUUUGGUUGUUGCAUCAGCCAUCUUGGAAAGAACAUUCAUACCAACUUUCACAAUAAAAGGGUCGUGACCCCUUUUUAUAGAGCAUCUAAAAAAUAUAGUAGAGGAGAUUUUAGACCAUUUCAAUCAAAUAGCGAAUAUGCAUCCCAAGGCAGCAGAACAUCUCGUACAUGUUGGUUUUGAGAGAUGGAGCUGGGCAUUUUGUCCGACAAAUAGGUACAUUCUUAUGAAUUUAAUGUGUUGUUUGAGUUACAAGUUUAGUAUGAUGUCGUACUAAGUGAUUCUUUUGUGUAGGUACAAUUAUAUGACAUUAAACAUAGCUGAAUCGGUGAAUUCAUUGUUUGGUGAUAAAAGAGAAUUUUUCAUCGUGGCUCUGUUUGAAAUAAUAAACAAGAAGUAUGACCAAUUUUUUCAUGAAAGACGUGUGGAGUAUGAGGACCCAGGAACCCCAUUCGUUCUAGAAGCGGAAAAAAUAAUAUCAAAGAACAUCAGUCUGGGAAAUAGGUUAUUAUCUCAUCAAAUAGAAGAUUAAAAGUUCAAUAUCAACGGUCAUGGUGAUAUUGCCAUGAUCGAUCUUAAAAUAAGAUCUUGUACGUGCAGAGUUUUUAACUUGGACAAAAUACCUUGUCCAUAUGCUAUGGAAACCCUUCGAGCUCAAUACAGUGCAAAAAUAUGGAACCAAAUUUAUGAGUACUCUUAUCCAUAUUAUUUGGUGGAAAAAUAUACAAUAGCAUAUAGUGGGCAUAUUACUCCGGUGCCUCUUGAAAAAUCUUGGGUUAUUCCUGCAGAGCUUUUGGGGAGAUUAAUACCUCCUCCAGAUAUUGACCCAAGCACUAUCAAACCGAUAAAAGGGCCAUAUAAGAGGAGGCAUGGAGUCAGAGAAUCAUUUCCAUCAAGAAGAAACAAGUGCUCUGUAUAUAAGAGCGCUGGCUACAAAAGAACUACAUGCUCAGAUCGUAAUCCAUCAUGAACGUUGUAAUUGCAAAAACUUGUGUUGUUGUUUGUUGUGGAACUUUUAAAUAUUUAACUCUUGUUGUGAACGUAAAUGUUAUUAUUUAUUAUAUAAAAUAUCUUUUUUAAUAACUUGUGCAUCAAUAAGAAGAAGAAAAACAUGAACUAAAUACAAUAGACCACAAAAUUAUUUUCAACAGAUUACUCAUCUGUUGCAACAGAUGGACAUUAGCUGGAAGAAAACAACCAGUCCAUUAAACUGGAAUAUGUUUCUCCAAUAGAUGAAAAAUCCAUCACAACAGAUGGAUAAUCUAUCUAAUCGAUCACCAAUCUAUUCCAACAUAUGAUCCAUCUGUUGAAAGAACUCAAAAACCAAAAUUGCUACUGCUACUGGAUUCAAAAUUGCUCUUUACCACCAACCGUUGACAUGUUAACAUGUUUAGAAAAAGAAAUAGACAAUAAAAAUUAAAUAAGAAUUAAAAAGCCAAAGUCGACCAAAAAUAAUUUUUUCAUUAAACAAAAAAAUAAAAUACAUUAGGUAUAAAUCCGAUAUAGAAAAAUUAAAAUACAUACGCUAAAAGAAAAAAUACAUUCUAAUUAUUAUUAUCAUCAUUAUUAUUGCCAGUCGGCCAAUCGUCAACUUGCAGCAGCAGGGCCCUCAUCAGCCUCUGCAUAUCUCUGAACAUCCUUACUCUCAAGGUGACCAACUCCCCCUGCAAGUCGUUAACCUGCCUCUGAAGUUCCCGCACGGUAUCACGUAGAUUAGAAAUAUCCCAAACAGGAUCAACCAUGUCUAGAACACGUAUGAAUUGACAGAAAACAUAAACACAAUAGUAAAGAAAAGAUUUCGAAUGUAAUACAAUGUAUACUACCAACUGAUAGAUUUACACUGAAAAAAACUUACCUCAACGAGAAAGGAAUAUGCUCUUUAAAUAGAAGUGGUUGAAGAUGUAAUACGAAGAGACAAAAUGUAAGAAAUAAAUAAAAGUGAAGUAGAAUGAAGAUUAAGGAGGGACCUAUUUAUAGAGGAUUGAAUCUAAAUGUGUUAACAAUAAAGCACGAUUGUUAAGCUCCACAGUAUUAAUUACAUUCAAACUACUGGUUUUUUGUUUUUGGUGAAAAUUUGCAACUUUUUAUUUUACAUUCAAAAUUCUCACCUUUUCAAAAUGGUUUGAGACUUAAUAACAUCAGUUAUUAUUGAGCUGUUUCAACAGAUCAUCCAUCUGUCACAAUAGAUAACCCACUAGCGCAACAGAUUUAUCAUCUGUUGUAACAGAUGGUCCGUAUGUGCAAUAGAUGAGACAUCUGUUGCAACAUAUGUAUUAUUUGUUGCGACAGAUGAACCAUCUGUUGGAGGAGAUAUUUUUAUUUCUUCUAACAGCUGAUUCAUCAUUUAUAACAGAUGGGAGAUUUGAUUUAUCAACUAUUUUGAAUGUGUUAGACAAAAAGUGACGACUGUUCACCUCUUUUUAAAUAGUUCAUCACAUACCUUAAUUAAUUCAAAUUGGUGACUUAUUAUACAAACAUAUUUAAAAACAAAAAAGGUGAAAAUUCACGACUUGUAGCACUUGUUUUUUCUUAAUGGGAAAGUAGUCAUCUGACAUUGAAGAUUCUUACCCUUUGAGCCUCCGUAGUCUUGUGCACUACUUAACGAUGGAAAGUGAAGAAUAAACUCUGUCUGACAUUAAUAGGGUAGGAAGAAUAAGGUGCGUCUAGAUGAAUGGAUCUACUUUCAUGCAUGGGAGUUAUGUAUUAUUGAUCAGGCUAUCGAGACAGACACACAUAAAAUACAAUAAUUUUGUGAAUGCAAUUUUUUACUAAUUAGACAUUGAUCCUUCAAACAAGAUCCUACAUUUUACAGUUUAGUUUGAUAGAUUCGAAUUGAAAGGCUGAAGGAUUCCAAGACGAUGGAGUCAAUACCCUAUUAUAAUUUAAUGAAGGUUUUGUUCAUGCUUAUGUGUCAAGAUUGGAGAAGGGUUUAAGUUUUUGGCAACAAUGUAAAUAUCCAAUAGUGAUUGGACCAAUUUUAAUGGUGCAAUGGACUUUUGAAAGGCCUCUGAAGCCUCGCACUGCAGCAAACAUGAAUGGAAAACCAAUAGAAAUUACUCUGGUCCAAAUUUUAUAGAUGGAUUGCUCGAGGAGACUGUUAUACAGCAGAAAGUGCUUGGGAGAAAACCUUUGCAGGAAAGGAGAGGAGGAGAAGACCAUAUAUCAUCUCAGACCUUGUUUAAGAGAAAACACAGGGAAGCAAGUAAGGAACUUAUAGCGAAUCUGGCCAAUGAAAUUGACUUAAGAGAUGAAAAAACUAAAAGAGCUUAAAAUGUGGAAGUGUAUCCAAAUAUUAAAAUCCACCAGUCGUUCUUGAAAAAGAAAAAUGCUCAAGAGGACUGGAGCUCGACAAUUUGCUAGGUACUGCGACUAGCGAGCGUGGCCUCAAUAAAGACCCAUAAAGUGCAGGACUAGAAAUCUAAUGAAACAGUUUAGUGAGCACAGAGGAUUGGUAAGAUUUUCAUUCAAGAAUUAAACCUGAACCAACAAGUCCAGAAGUAAAAAUAAGGGAAGCCAAGGAGUCAAUUUCUGAAGUCUAACUAGUAUCCCAUACAUUUUGUUUGUGGUUCUGAUUAGGUCAAUGGCAGUAGAAAAAAAAGGGUCUGAAGUUGGGCAGAAAUCCCAUGUCUAUUGUUUCCACUGCCGUUGACUAGACUAGAGCCAUAAACAGGAGGCAUAGGAUGCAAGUUUAAAUUGAGAAAUUGACACCUUGGCUUGAUCCCUUAUUUUUACUUCAGGAGUUGUUGGUUCAGGUUUCAUUCCUGACCGACAAUAUUACCACCAUCGAUGCUCGUGAAGUUGAAACCUUAGAGUUUUGGUCCUAUAUUUUGUGGGUCUUUAUUCAGGUCACGAGAGCUAGUUGCAAUCCCCUAAUAAAGUGUACAACUCCAAUCCACUUCAACAUUUUUCUUUUCAAAAUGGACUAAUGGAUUUUCAUUUUUGAAUACACUUUCACAUUUGCAGCUCAUUCAAUUUUUUCAUUUUUCAUGUCAAUUUCAUCAUCCAGUUACGCUACACUUUCCUUUCUACCCUUUGUUUCUUCUUUAAUAAGGUCUAAGUUGAUAUAUGAUCUUCUCCACCUCCCCCUUCCUGCACGGGUAUUCUUCCAAUGACCUUCUGUCGUAUAAUAGUCUACUCGAGCAACCCAUCCAUAUAAAUUUAGACUAUAGCAAUAACUAUAUUCAUUUUCAUUCUCUUUUGCAGUAGUGUGAGGCUUCGGAGGCCUUUCAAAAGUCCAUUGAACCCUUAAAAUCAGUCCAAUCACUAAUUGAAUGUUUACACUACCACCCAAAACCUGAAUCCUUCUCCAAAUUUAACACAUAAACACUAGCAAAAUCUUUAUUAAACCAUAACAGGGUAUCGACACAACCUACUUGGUCCCUCAGCCUUACCAGUUCGAACCUAACAAUCUUAACUGUAAAAUGUCAUAUCUUGUUUGAAAGAUUAACGCUUAAUAGGUAAAGAACCAACAUUCACAAAAUUUUCAUGAUAGGUUGAUCAGUAAUACAUACCUCCCACAUACCAUCUGCAAGUAGCUUAUUCCUCCGAACCCAUCUUUUCUCGAGCCUUUAAUGCUGCUCGGGAAAAAGUUGAUCCAGUUUUACUUUCUUUAUCUUCAAACAAGAGAAAAACAUUUGAUGUCAAACAAGAGAAGAACAAAAAGAACAGAUGACCCAUCUGAUGUAACAGAUUCCCCAUCUAUUCAAUCGAUAAGUCGCAUCUAUUGUAAUAUGCGACACAUCUGUGGCAACAGAUUAUGACAUGUUGAAAUAAAUGGGUCUUCUGUUGGAAUAAAUCAAACAAGCGUUGCAACUGAUUUGAUUUAUUCCAAUAGUUGCUUCGACUGUUUCAACAACUGAUUCAUCAGUUGAAACAGUUGAGGAAACUAUUACAACACCACCAAUAAUAGUAUCAACAAAAAAUACAACCCCAUAAGUUCCAAAACUAUCAACAACACAAACACCACAUGUUUCAACAACACCAACACCCACAACAACAGCACCACCAAAGUAACAAACAAAAGACAUAGAAAUGAUAUUAACAACAAGGUUUUUUAAGUUCUCCCAACAGAUAACUUUUUUUUGCAUAUUUUAAUAAAAACAACGAUUCGUUCAUUCAAGACUUAAAAGUUACCUUUCCUUUAAUUUUCUCAAUAAAUAGGAAAUUGGUAAUGGGUAAAUCAAUAAUAACAAUAGAUGUAAAUAUCAAAUUUAAAUAACAGACAAAGAAAAAGACAAGAAGGAAAGUACAAUAGUGAACCAUACCUACAAUGUAAAAAAAGAAAAGGGAUCAGAACACCCAUUUUAGUCGAGAAAAGAUAUUGAUCGAUUGAGAUCCGAAAGUAUCCUCAUACAAAAGAGGAGAGAAAAAAAGAAGACGAUUGUGAUUAUCCCAAAAAGGAGAGAAAGAGAAUUCUGAAUAAUGAAGAGUUACUUAAUGAUUAAAGGAGAGAGAAUUCUAGAUAUGGUUUUAAAUAUUCAUUAAUAACUUUGAGGGGCACGAGGAGAUGGUGACAUUCAAAAGACAAGAUAAGACUACUCAAUGAGGAGAUUUUUGAGUUAUCCAAGUUAUAUUUUUUACCGCAUUAGUAUUUUAUCUUUUUUCUUUGUCUCGGAUAGAAAAUUAGGAAAUUGCUUUAAAAUUAAAAAAAAAGGUAAUUCAUACUUUGCAAUAGAUGACAUUUCCGUUUGAAAAUUUCCAAUAGCUCAGUAAUUUGUCGCAAUCGAUGGAAACACCAAUUUGAUAAUUUACAACAGAUAGUUAAUCUGUUGCAACAGAUGACUUAAUCUAUUUGAUAAAUUCCAACAUAUAAGUCAUCUGUUACAACAGGUUGACCAUUUGUUUUUAUACAAUUUUAAGUGAGUUCAUAUGCUCAACUACAACUUCAAUUGAUUAAUCUAGAACUAGGGAUGAGUUCAUAGGGUCAGCUACAACUUCAAUUGAAACUUUAGCAAUUACAUGAUGUUGGUAUUGUGUUUCUCCCAACCUGAGUCAUCGAUCGAUCACUCUGAGUUGAAAUAAUUCUUAUUACCUCAUUGUCAAGCUAAUACCUAAAUUGUUUUAAAAUAGAAGUAGGGGUGAGUUCAUAGGGUUAACUAUAACUUCAAUUGAGUCUUCUGGCAAUUGUAUGAUGUUGGUAUUGCAUUUUUUCUGACCUGAGUCAUUGAUCGAUCACUCUGAGUUGAAAUGAUUCUUAUUACCUCAUUAUCAAGCUAAUACCUAAAUUGAUUAACCUAGAACUAGGGGUAAGUUCAUAAGGUCAACUACAACUUCAAUUGAGUCUUUCGAAAUUACAUGAUAUUGGUAUUGCGUUCCUCCUGACCUAAGUCAUCAAUCGAUCACUCUGAGUUGAAACGAUUCUUAUUACCUCAUUGUCAAGCUAAUACCUAAAUUUUCUUAAAAUAGAACUAGAGAUGAGUUAAUAGGGUCAACUACAACUUCAUUUGAGUCUUUUGGCAAUUGCAUGAUAUUGGUAUUGCAUUCCUCCCGACCUGAGUCAUCGAUCGAUCACUUUAAGUUGAAACGAUUCUUAUUACCUCAUUGUCGAGCUAAUACCUAAAUUUAUUUAAAAUAAAAAAAGAUCUUAAAACAUAAAAGUCAUACUUUGCAAUAGAUGAUAAUUUUUGUUUAAAAAUUUCCAACGGCUCGGUCAUCUAUCACAACAGAUGGCAAUGCCUAUUGGAUAAUUUAUAAUAGAUAGUUACUUGGUUACAACAGAUGACUUAAUCUAUUUGAUAAAUUCCAAAAGAUAAGUCAUCUGUUGCAACAGGUUGAACAUUUGUUUUUAUACAUUUUUAAUUGAGUUCAUCUGCUCAACUAUAACUUUAAUUGAUUAAGCUAGAACUAGGGUGAGUUAUAGGGUUAACUACAACUUCAAUUGAGGCUUUGGCAAUUGCUUAAUAUUGGUAUUGCAUUCCUCCAGACCCGAUUCAUCAAUUGAUCACUCUGAGUUGAAAUGAUUAUUAUUACCUUAUUGUCAAGCCAAUACAUAAAUUGAUUAAGCUAGAACUAGGGGUAAGUUCAUAGGGUCAAUUACAACUUCAAUUGACUCUAUGGCAAUUGCAUUAUGUUGGUAUUUUAUUUCUCCCGACCUGAGUCAUCGAUCGAUCACUCUGAGUUAAAAACAAUUCUUAUUACCUCAUUGUCAAGCUAAUACCUAAAUUGUUUUAAAAUAGAAGUAGGGGUGAGUUUAUAGGGUUAACUACAACUUCAAUUGAGCCUUUUGGCAAUUGUAUGAUGUUGGUAUUGUGUUUCUCCCGACCUGAGUUAUUGAUCGAUCACUCUGAGUUGAAAUGAUUCUUAUUACCUCAUUGUCAAGCUAAUACCUCAAUUUAUUAAGCUAGAAUUAGGGGUGAGUUCAUAGGGUCAACUACAACUUCAGUUGAGUCUUUUGUCAAUUGCAUGAUGUCGGUAUUGUAUUUCUCCCGAUCUGAGUCGUCGAUCAAUCACUCUAAGUUAAAACAAUUCUUAUUACCUCAUUGUCAAGCUAAUACCUAAAUUACUUUAAAAUAAAGAAAGGAUCUUAAAAUAUAUAAGUCAUACUUUGCGAUAUAUGACAAUGUCUCUUUGAAAAUUUCCAACAACUCGGUUAUCUGUCGCAAUAGAUGGCAACGCCUAUUUGAUAAUUUAUAACAGAUAGUUAAUCUAUUACAGCAGAUGAAUUAAUCUGUUUGAUAAAUUUUGAAAGAUAAGUCAUCUGUUGCUACAAGUUGAACAUUUAUUUUUAUAGAUUUUUAAUUGAGUUCAUCUGUUCAACUACAACUACAAUUGAUUAAGCUAGAAUUAGGGGUGAGUUCAUAGGGUCAACUACAACUUCAAUUGAGUCUUUGACAAUUGCAUGAUGUUGGUAUUGCGUUUCUCCCAACCUGAGUCAUCAAUCGAUCACUCUGAGUUGAAACUAUUCUUAUUACCUCAUUAUCAAGCUAAUACCUAAAUUGAUUAAGCUAGAACUAGGAGUGAGUUCAUAGGGUCAACUACAACUUCAAUUAAGUCUUUGGCAAUAGGAUGAUAUUGGUAUUGCGUUCCUCCCGACAUGGGUCAUCGAUCGAUCACUUCGAGUUGAAAUGAUUUUUAUUUUCUCAUUGUCAAGCUAAUACCUUAAUUGAUUAAGCUAGAACUAGGGGUGAGUUCAUAGGGUCAACUACAACUUCAAUUGAGUCUUUUGAAAAUUGCAUGAUGUUGGUAUUGUGUUCCUCCCGACCUGAAUUGUCGAUUUAUCACUCUGAGUUAAAACGAUUCUUAUUACUUCAUUGUCAAGAUAAUACCUAAAUUGCUUAAGCUAGAAUUAGGAGUAAGUUCAUAGGAUCAACUACAACUGCAAUUGAGUUUUUUGACAAUUGUAUGAUGAGACGGGUAAAAAUUACGCAUAUCUUUUGAAAUUUUAAAAAAUAAUUAAGAUCAAUUCAGACCAAAUUAGCAUUUUCAAAACUUUCCAUUCUUUUCAAAAAUACAAAUCAACCCAUACAAAUCAUCCAUUUGUGGGAAAAACAUUUCAUUAUUUCAAAUCUCAAGUUCUCACUCUUUUCUCUCUCUCAACAAUACAGACAAUAACUAAUCAACAAAUUGCUCAACCCCUCACAAUAGAUUGAUUUUAUUCCUAUUUCCAACCACAUAGGUGUUAUUUUUUACUUUAUUCUUGCUUGUAUUCAUCGUUUUCUCCAUCUUCGUAGGUAGCAGAGUUUGAGAAUAAUUCUAUAUUUGUUAUUUUUUCUAAAAAUUAGGGCUUUUAAGUUAAUAAUAAAAAAUAAGACUUUUAGUUGUAUUAUCUUCGAGAAUGGGUUUACUAUUUUUAUUUUUGAUGGUAAAAUUGUAGGAGGAACCCGAGAAAAUCCUAGUUUUUAUUGCAGUGUUUCGUUGACUGACAUGGUAAUGUUGGAUGGUGUUUGUGGUGUUGGUGGUCGUGGUGGUGGUACUGGUGGUAUUUGUGGUGGCUGUUGAUAGUGGUGUUGGUGCCAUUGGUUGGUGGUGUUUGUGGCGGUUAUUGGUGGUGUCAGUAUUGGUGGUGUUUGUAAUGUAUUUUUUAAAAUUUAUGGAUACAUCAAUUGUAAUGUAAUUUUUAUUUUUUUGUUGUUUUUAGGUAAAAUAUAUCUCCUAAAAGAAAAGAAAGUAAAAGUGGAUCAACUUCUGACUACCUAACAAAAAAGGCUACAAUACAGAGGGAUCCAGAGGAGCUUCCUGAACAAUAUCAGUCAGAGAAAAGCGAAGCUGAGGAAAGUUAUGAAAACAAUGCUGAGGGAGGUGGACAAAGGUGUGUAGAUGGUGAUGAGAAAAAUGAAAGUGAAGAGGAUGAAGGAGAAGAUAAACAAGAAGGGGAGGGAGAAGAAAGUGAGAAAGAGAAUAAUAAUGCCUCACCAAUGGGGCGUGAAUUAAUAUCGAAAUCCCAGCAUGAGGCUGUUAAAACUAGUAGUAUUAACAGGUUUCAAGUUGUGAUGCCGAUAGAUGAACCUUCAGAACUAACUGGGGAUCUUGUACUCAAAUGUAAGUUGGGGAAACCUUUUGAUGAAUUUAGGAAUGUUAUGAAGAACGAAUACAUAGACAAACUUUUUAAGAAGAGCUUCUUUGGACAUUUUUUAAGCUGCCUAAGGACCACACUGCCCGUUUCCAAAUAAGCAUGGUAUAUGAUCUUCUCAAGCAUAGGUUCAAGUACGUGGGGGAUGAUAAAGAUUCAAAGGAGGGGAAAAAUGGAUGAAAUCUGGAUCAACUACUGUGGCAUGUCGGGUUGUUUUAGAGUUUGCCAUAGUGAUGGGCUUGAGAUGUGAUUGUCCAGAAAAACCUCUUACCAAGGAAACACCAUGCCAAAGGUCCAAGGCAAGCAGGACAGCCAAACCACCACCAUCAAAUAGUGGUAUGACAUUGUCCCACGACCACCCACCAAAACCAGACCAUCCACCAAAACCAACAAACACAAGAAAAAAAUAGAUGGGUUGUUGGACAUUGCUAGACGUGAGUGCGAAGCCAAUAAUUUGAUAAAACAUCUCAAGGAUAAAACCAUACCAAAGAAGUACAGGGAGCAGUUAUUCUUAGUUUGAUUUGCCCAUUCCGUUAUAUUGGCAAGAGACGUCAACAAAUUUAUAGAAGAUGAUUUGUUGAAGCUUGCUAAGGAUUUUGAGAAAUUCAACAAUUAUCCCUGGGGUUAUGAUAGCUACUACUUGACUGUCAAAUAUUUAUUGACAAAGCUAUCUCCAAAGACAAUCACAUUAUACAGCUUUCCUUGGGAUUUCAUGGUAAAUUUAAUCACUAUUUGUUUACUCAUCCAUUAAUUUAUAUUGAUUAAUUAUUAUGACUUUUUUUUGCUUGCCUCCUAUUUACAUAUUUUAGGCUUGGAUAUUUGAAGUAAUUCCUCACCUCCGAAAGAAGGUCAAGGAUGACUCGGAUGAGGUUUCUCUUUAACCCUCCGAAUGAUGCAGUACGUCUUUUUUCAAGUAAAAUAAUUUGACUUAAAGAAAUAAAUUGAAACAGAUGUGCCAUCUAUUGCGACAGAUGGGUCGUCUGUUGAAAUAAAUUACCCAUCUACUAUAACUGGUGCAAUAUAUGGGUAAUCUAUUGUGACAGAUGAUCCAUAUUUCACAAUAGAUUAACCAUCUGUUGCUCUAGUUCUCUGAACCUGGCUCAACAGAUUACCCAUCUACUGUAAAUUAUACAAUAGAUGGGUAAUUUGAUGCAGUAUAUUGUUAAUUUGUUGUGACAUACAGAUUAGCUAUUACGACAAAUAAAUCAUCUGCUGCAUAAGUUCCAUCCACUGCAACUGGUACAAUAGAUGGGUAAUAUGUUGCGAAAGAUGAUUCAUAUUUCGCAUUAGAUUACCCAUCUGUUGCUAUGGUUCUAUGAAUCUGACUCACAGAUUACCCAUAUACUACAAAUUAUGCAACAUAUGGGCAAUCUGAUGCAACAUAUUGUUAAUCUGUUACAAUAGUCAGAUCAGCUAUUGCGACAGAAAGAUCAUCUAUUGCAUAAGUUGUCUAUGUUAACAUGUAACCCAACUGACUAUAAAUUAUUAUAUGGUUUAAAUGUACUUGUUUUUUUAUAGGUUGUGCAUCCAUGGAUUGUGCCUACUGAGCAAGAGUUAAGGAUGAAUUCUUUUAUUACUCUAGGUAUUAUUAAUACAAUAGCAGACCCAACAGUGGAGUUAAUAAAGAAGGAAUUGGUUAUUCAACAGCCAUAAGAAGAGUAGUUAGGAAAGGUCAGCCUAGUGUUGAGGAUAUUUAUGACCAACCUACUGCAACAAAUCCGGGUUCUUCUUCUGGGGUGUUGUUGGUGGAGUUGUUGAUGUUGGUGGCAGGCAUUCUGAUGUGCUGCCAGUCGUGAUGUUGAGCAUAUUGAUGCUGAAGAAAAAAUAAAUAUGUUUGAAAAUACCCCUUUCACAGGUCCCUUUCACCCCUCUUCACCCUCAUGUUCUCGUUGCAAAUGCGAAGAGUGCAAGGACAGUAAGGAUAAACUCUUUGAAAAAGUAGAGUCUAUUUUUAAAUCUAUCGAGGAAUUGAAAUCCAAGAGGGGUAUCAUACCAUCCAAGAAGGCGAAGAAGCCAUAACCACCUACAGUGGCGGUUAGGAGGAAGAAAAGAACAAUUAGCCAAGUACUCUCUAAUCAAAAAUCCAAAAAAAUUGCAACUCUUUCCUCUUCAAAAGUUGUUUAAAGAAGAGGGAUUUGCGACGGUCCAAGAAUGCCAAGCAAAGCGCACAAGAUUACCCCAUCCAUACCCUUUCCGCCUAAGACUUUAGAAGUAUGACAGAUAUGCGUACGCUGUACGUGGAUAGGGUAAGUUUACUUUUCCUAACCUAACCUUCUAAUCUACUCCAUGAAGAAUAAGCUAUGUGAUAGAUGUGUCAUUUGUUACAACAUAUGUAUAUUCUGGUGCAACUUGUGGAGGUUCUGUUGCAACAUAUUACCCAUCUCUUGCAUAAGUUGCGUUAGAUGGGUAAUUUAUAAACAGAAUCAGAGAACCAUGUGCAACAGAUGGACCAUCCGUUGUAUUUUUCCACUAUGUUUUCCUUUUUUAUAAUUACUAACCUAUUUAAAAAUUGACUUUUUAUAUCUCAGUAUGUUGAAGAUAUUCUCUGCCUCAUGAAGGGCAGCCAAUUAGCGUACCCAGAAGCUUAUGCUGCUGCUGAUAGGAUAAUAGACUUUGACUUUUACAAGAAUAUCAAAGAUAGGUACGAUGAUCUUAGUAAGCUAGAGCCAACUCUCGGUGGCGCGGGAUUUGAUUCGUUACUUUUUGAGUUCCAAUGGGAUGAAGAAAUGAUAAAAUAUGUUAGAGGAGAGAGGUCAAAUCCACACGACAAGAGCUGAACCGAGGCAAAGAGGAUUCUUAGAGUCAUGAACGUGGAUGACAUACAUUAUCAGGCUGUUGAGAUACUACUCGAGGAGGGAAAGAUCAAGGCUUAUGACUGUAACUUCCCUCCCUUGGUUGAGGCUAAUUUUUUUACCCACAAGCAGCCACUGUUGGAUUUGUUCCCCAUCUUGUUGAGGCAGAGUAAACUGAUGGAUCAUUUGCCAAUGAAAGUGUUGACGAAGCAACCAUGGGAUUUUAAAGGUUGAAACAAGGACAUGGACCUUUCAAAAAAUAAAACCACUGCCGCGUACGGGUCGCACGCUCUUGCACACAUCGUACGUUUGCUGACCGGCACAAAAAAUGGCCAAACCAAUGACCUUUUUAUGUUACAACUCUCUGGAAAACAUGCAAGAGGUCUGGACUUAUGGGGUACUAAUUAGACUCUUGUAGCCUGUGUAUAAAGAAGAGCUUGUGAAAUAAUAAUUUUGUUACUUCAAGUCACUUCACUUUACAUAAUUUACAUACAUGUAGUGCCAAUGCAAUAGAAUGUCCAUCUGUUAUAAAAUAUAUUCUAUCUAUUCUGACAAAUAGUUUAGUGUUGCAAUAGGUUGGUCAUCUACUGCAUUAUGCCGAUGUUUCUAUCUAAGUCUUAUCUGUUGCAAUAUUGGGAAGACCUGUUUGAUCAUUUCCAACAGAUGACCUACAUGUUGCAACAUAUGUCUAAAUCUAUUUGAUAUUUUUCCAACAUUUACGCUUGAGUAUCCAUGUGCUCAACAACACCAAAGCAGUAACAAAUACAAAUACACCAGCAUGAAAAUUUCAGUAAUUAGUCUUGAAUAUCCAUGUGUCCAACAACACCAAUCUAGUAGCAAUAACGCCAACAAUGUAGUAUCUUCUUGCUCGAUUUUAUUUCUCUUCAAAAGCCUUAACUUUCUUUAACAAACCCCAUAUUACAUGAUUUGCUUGUGAAGGGGGUCGUUCUUCAUACCAAUCAAAGUAAUCACAUCCACCCAACUUCUACAAAAAAUAAGACCACAAUUUCAAAAUAAUUAUAAGUCAAUAAUUAAUCAACUAAUUAAAUAAAAAAAUAUUACCUUUAAAUUUUACAAGUAAAAAACCUAUGACCUGGAUUUUGUUGAGUCCAAAAAGUUUUCAAUAGAGUUUCAUGACCACACUUAUAAUAUCAAAAAUUUUUAUCACAAAAAAAGUGGAAGAUGAGCUCGACAUUAUUAAGCUUAGUUGGAAAAAAUAAAAAAAAUAUGAAAAAAACAAAUACAAAUAAUUUGUAGAAUUUGGAUAGAGAAAAAAAGAUGAUGAAGAAGAAGAUUUGGGUAUUUAAGGUUAAAUUUUAGGAAGAAGAUGAAUAUAUAGGACAAUGGAGGGAAAAUAACCGUUGAGGGCCAAAUUAGACACCAAGUCAGCAAAAAUAGGGGUUCAACGAGCCUUGGCUGCAUGAAUUACACGCGAGCUGCCAACAGGGCAAAAAGUGCCAAACUGACACUCUUGGUGUCUAUUUUAUUUUAGGUGUAUAAAAUGAACACUAUCUAGGUGUUUAAAAUUAACACUGUCUACUUGAUACCUCUUUACUUUAGGUGUUUAAAAUGAACACUGUCGAUAGGUUUCACCUUUUUUAUUUCAAGUCACUUCAUUUACAUGUAGUGGUAAUUUUUUUAUGUCUAGUGAAAGUUGAAUUUUUAUAAUGCAAUAGAUUGUCCAUCUGCUGUAACAAAUAUUCUACCUGUUCUGACAGAUAGUUUAUCUGUUGUAGGUUGGUCAUUUGUUGCAUUAUGUUGAUAUUUCUAUCUAAGUCUAUCUGUUGCAAUUGUGGAAAGACCUAUUAGAUAAUUUUCAAUAGAUUACCUACCUAUUGCAACAUAUGUAUAAAUUUGUUUGAUAUUUUCCAACUGAUAUGUCCUCUAUUGCAACAUCUACCUUAUCCAUUGCAAUAUUUGAGUCUAGUAUUCUAUUUUAACUAAUAAGUUUAAAUCUAAGGAUAAAAUAAAUUCAUAGAUAAAAUAAAAUAAAUUGAAGCCUUCAGAAAUUACUAGAAAUAAAUCAACAAAUAAAUGAAAUGUAAAAAAAAUUGUUAUGGGUACAAAUCUCAACAAAUAAAUCAACAAUUUAAGUUUUGAUGUUAAUAAUUUUUAAGGAGGGGUGAGGUUAUUACUUUGACAGACUCGAGCUAUAAAGAUCUACUCAAUAUGAAAAAGUUGUUCUACAUCCGGUGCUAUGAAAUUCGACUUUGGUUUUCGUGGAUCUUUAAUGUCGCUUGCGUACGGUUUAUGCGCUUUCUGUUCUCCGUAUUUUCAUGCAAAGAAUAGCAUAUUGUCAAUGUUGUUCAACAGUAGAUUCUACAGUGACAUCCACCUGGAAAGCCAGAAUUGGUCAAUGCUAAUCACGGAGACACAAAAAAAUAGAAAAGGAUAACUUAUCUGUUUUAGCAAAUCAAACAGGUACUUCUCCUAUUUUAAAUUAUCCUAAAUAGAUUAUAUUUCUAUUAAAAUAGAUGGAUCAACUGUUGGGACAAAUUAUAACAUGAGGAAGACCUGUAUGAUAAUUUCUAACAGAUGAACCAUCUGUUGCAAUAUAUAACUCAAAUGUUUGAAAAAAUUAAAACGGUAGAAAGUCUUAAUUUGAUUAUCCCAAUAGAUGACCCAUCCAUUGCAGCAGAUAUGUCAUCUGUUGGUACAAAUAAAAAUGGUACAUAGAGCUGUUUGACUUGCUAAAAUAGAUGAGACAUAUGUUGCAAUAGAUACCGUAUCUGAUGCAACAUGUUAUUAAACUAUUACAACAGAUGUAUAUAUCUGUUUGAUAAUUUUCAAUAGAUGUGUCUGUUUGUUAAUUGGAAUAAACGAUAUAUAUUCAUCUUCUUCAGUUUGUGCUGCUCUCCUUCGGCCAUUGUACAUUGCUCAGUAGUGCAACACACGAACAGAAGAGUUGCAAUUUCACUUUCUUGGAUGCUUGAUAAUGCCUUGGAAAUUACUUUUCUUCUCCUCUUAGCCUUAAUCUCAAAUGGAGUGGAUGAAUAUAAAAUUAUUUUUGAUGGAAUGACACCCCUCUUAGAUGUCAAUUCCUUUACAGAAGUAGUUAAUGCAUUAAUAGCAUUAAUCACUACAUCAUAUUUUGCGUUGUAGUCUUGACAUUUGCAUGCAAAACAUUCGCUAUGAGAGGCAAAAUCUGUAUAACCAGUAUGAUUAUACUCAUAAUAGUUUGUUUUAGAAACUGUAAGAGGAGUAUCAUUAGCACCAGCAGCAGCACCACUACUACCACCAAUAGCUCCAUCACCACUAAGAUCAUCUAUAACAAGAAGCCCACACUCCAAAAUUAUUUUUCUUGUGAUAGUUGUUACUCCAAAUAAUUCCAUUUUUAUUCUUUCAAUGACCUUAAGGUUCGAUAAAGUUUGCACAGACCGUAAAAUAAGAAAAAAUGACAUCGUCAACUCUCGAUUGGUCGGAAUAAGCGAUGGAUGCAUAAUCUAACAUAAAUCAUUACAUAUAUUAGAUUGAUGAUUUGAUCAUUCAAAAAAAUUAUUAAUUAAAAUAAAAACUUAAUUAUAAUUAUACUUACUGCACCCUUCAGGGGGUUGAAGAGAUCAAGAAAUUUUGCAUUUUUAUUAGUUUUUACCGACAACCAUCUCAAGAUUCUUGGACAGGAAACUUUUUUCUGGUAGUUCACUUGUUGUCUCAAAUAAGGAAUGACUUCAAACCGCCAAGCCUAUAAAAUAAUGCCAAUAAAUCAAAACCAUUAUUGGAUAAAAAAAUGAAUCAUAUCAUAAAAAAAAUAUUUCCCAUGAAAGACCAUAGAAAGCCAUAUAAGUUGAUUGUCUUUGGCGUUAAUGGAGUCAACAAAUAUUUGACAGUCAUUUUGAAGCUUUCAUAACCCUAAGAAUAGUUGUUAAAUGCCUCAAGAUCCUCGAAGAACUUUAUUUAGUGUAGUUACUUAAAAGUGGUUAAGUAUAGUGACUUGAAGUGAAUGAUUAAGUGUAGUGACUUGAAAAUGAUUAAGUAUAGUUAUUUGAAAUGUGAAGUAGUUACUUGAAAACGGUUAAGUACAGUGACUUGAAAUGUAAAUUAAUUAUUUGAAAAUGGUUAAGUGUAGUGACUUGCAACGUGAAUUAGUUAUUUGAAAAUGGUUAAGUGUAGUGACUUGAAAUGUCUACUAUUUAUUUAAAAAUGGUUAAGUGUAGUGACUUGAAAUGUGUACUAGUGACUUGAAAAUAGUUAAGUGUAGUAACUUCAAAAUGGUUAAGUAUAGUGACUUGAAAUGUCAAUCAACUAUUUGAAAAUGGUUUGAGUGUAGUAACUUGAAAUGUGUACUAGUGAAUAAGUUAUUUGAAAAUUAUUAAGUGUAGUGACUUGAAAAUGAUUAAGUGUAGUUACUUGAAAUUACGAACUUGUGAUUGAUCUAUUUGUAUUUAUCGUGAUGUUUUUUAGUUGUACGCAGAUAUAAAUAUAAUAAGGACUGAAAGUUUAUCUGAUUGGUUUUUAUACUUUGCAUUUUUAUGUAGCCAAGUGAUGCGGCUAAUGGACCCAUUUCGCCCAUGGAUGCAAGAAGACCAUGUGAUGAUAGUGAUCCUAAUGACAGUCGCUGUAAAUUGUCUUGAAUAUUCAAUUAUGAUGAUAUAAUUGUAUAGUUGGAGUGAAUCUUAGAACAUUCAAGGUUUUGUGUUUAAAUUUGAUUUUGAAAUUUGAAGAUACUAUUUAAUGUUGAAAAUUUGGAGUUUGAAGAUGCUAAUGUUGAAAAUUUAAUUUCGAAGUUUAAUGUUCAAUGUAUUUUUGAGAUGCUUGUGAAUUAUAAUGUUUCAUUAGUCAUGUUGUGUUAAUGAUGUAUGAAUUAAAUAAAUAUUGGAUUGUAGGUUAUCCUUAAAGAAACAAUUAAAUUUGAGCUAAAAUUAGAAUUUAUAAUUUGUUAUUGAAAACUAAUGGGUCUCACUAUUUAUUUUAAAAAAAAAUUUACGGAGGUUUUAAACCGCCGCAAUUUUGAAAUAAAAAUUUAUUAUAAAAAGAAUUAAAUUUAGAGUAAUGGAGGUCUCAACCGCUGCAAAAUAACCUCCGCAAAUUAAUUAUGAGGGGUAAAAAAAAUUGCCACAAAUUAUUUGUGACGGCUCAUAUUGUGAUUUGUGGGGGUUUAAAACCCACGCAAACCUUAAAAUUAACCCCCACAAUUUGAUCUAUUUUUUUUGUAGUGAAUGCAUUAUUAAAAAGGAAUAACAGUAAAUCUAACAGACAAAACAGUAAAAUAUAAUUCCAACAUAUCACACAUAUAUUGCACCAGGUAGGUUAUCUGUUGCACCAAAUAACUAACUUGUUGCAACGGAUGAGUAAUCUGUUGCACAAUACAAAACAUAUCACUCAUCUGUUGAGACAAAUGAAUGGUCUGUGCAACAGAUCACACAUCUGUGUGUGAUCUGUUGGAAUAGUUAGCAACAGUCAAUAUUGUUUAGAUUUCUUCUAACAGAAGGGUCAUCUAUCGCGACAGAUGAAUGGUCAAUUGGAAAAAUCAAGUCUUGGACAUGUCCCGUUGGAAUAGUUGAUAGGAUUUUAUCCAACAGAAGGUUCAUCUGUUGCAUCAGAUUUUUAAUUUCAUGGUUUCUCUAUUGCAUCAGUUUUUUAAUUCGAUAGUUCCUCUGUUGCAUCCGAUACAUCUAUUGCGUCAGAUGGUUAAUUUGUUGCAAUAUAUGGUUAAUCUGUUGUGUCAGAUGGUUAAUAUAUUACAUCAUAUAGUUAAUCUGUUGUAUCAGAUUUUUAAUCUGAUGGUUCCUCUAUUGCAUUCGAUGAUUAAUCUGUUGCAUCAGAUGGUUAAUUUGUUGCAUCAGAAUUUUAAUUCGAUGGUUAAUCUACUGCAUCAUAUGCUAAAUCUGUUGCAUUAGAUGAUUAAUUUGUUGCAUCAGAUGGUUAAUUUGUUGUAAAAAAAUAAUAGCAUAAUUCUGUUCAAUAGAACAAUAACAAUAUCACCAUUUUUACCAAAAACACGAACAAUCAACCUAGCAAUGGGCGCAACACAAAAAACACCAACAUUGUUGUAUUAUUUGUAUAAACACAAACAACAAAAUCAAACUUAAAAAAAAAUGCAACAAACAACAAAAAAUCAUAAUUCACUCCAAAAAGAGAAGAGAAGAAAUAUCAGAAAUUAGGAUUUUAUUCAGACAACAUUUCAAAUUAAAGCAACAAAUAUUAAAAUUGUUAACCAAUACUAGAAGAGAAGUUGACUCAACUUUCUCAUUUUCUUCAAAACUAAAAAGGCCAUAAUUUUUUACCUAUGAAAGAAAAAGAAGACGAUGAAGAAUUCAAAACUAUUGUGGCCGGAGGACAAGGCUGUAACAUCGACUGAUGGUUGAAAGUCAAAAAGGAACUCGAAACCCAACUAUUUGUCGCUGGAUGUUGAAGUCGUCAGGGAUUGAAAGGAGAAAUUUGCAGAACUAUUGGUUGGAAAAAAUUGUUGAGAGAGAUAGGAGAGGCGGUUGAUUUGGAGAGGAGAGGGGUGUGGGUUGAUUUGUAUUUUUAAAAAGAUUAGAGAGUUUUAAAAAUAUUAAUUAAGUCCAUAACUUAAUCAAGUUUCCUAAUUAUGUUUGACUCUUUAAGUUGGUCAAUGUCACCAAUCCUUUAUUCGAGAAUUAAAUAACACCUUUCCUUCAAUUUUCUCUGGUUAGUAUAUUUAAUUAGCAUUAUGUUGAUGAAUUAUGCUUUUUCUUAACUUCAACAAAAAGAAUGGAGAAAAGACAUCUUUUCCCCCCUGAACUUGUCCUCCAAACUCACUUUAGCACUUAAACUUAACUUCCGUUUAUUUACCUCCUUUAACAUCUUUAAAGCGUAUUUAUUUAACCCCUAAAGCUGACGUGAUAUUUUUUUAAAAAAAGAGGCGUGCUUAUUUAUUAAAAAAAUUAAUUUCGGUAAUAUUAUAUUUAAAAUAUAAUAAUUUUUUUUAAAAAAAUAAAAUUAAAAUAAAAAUAAAAAAUGAAUACUUUUUCUCUUCCUCUUUAUUCUUCAAAUCAUAAUCAACAACAACACUCAAACCUCCAUUAACAACCUCAAUUUUUUUUUACUUUCCUCCAUUAACAUCACCACCCAAGAACAACACUUUUCUUUAAUUUUUUUCACUUUCCUCCAUUAACAACACCACCCAAAAACAACACUUUCCUUUAAAUUUUUUCACUUUCCUCCUCCAUUAACACCACCCAAGAACAAACAUGAAAACACUAUUAAAUAAUUUUAUCCAUUGAACACCAUCUCAACCUUCAAUCCAACUCCCUCAAAAUUCAGAUAAUAAUUAAAUUAAAUUGAUGAUUUUGUUUUUGAAUCACUUAUCAUCAAUGAGAUUUCUUUUGAUUUUUACUUUUGAAUUUUUUUGUUAAUAAAAAAAUUUACAAAAAUUAAUUUUAACUUGAUGAAAGAAUUUUUGUUUGAAUAAAAAAGAAGAGGGUGAGGGAUGGGGGGCUGGAAGGAUGGGGUAGGGGUGAGGCUGAAAGAGGAAAAAGAAUGGCAGGGGAGGGGGGCAGGGGGGGCUGGAAGGGAAGAAGAGCGAGCAGGAGUNNNNNNNNNNNNNNNNNNNNNNNNNNNNNNNNNNNNNNNNNNNNNNNNNNNNNNNNNNNNNNNNNNNNNNNNNNNNNNNNNNNNNNNNNNNNNNNNNNNNNNNNNNNNNNNNNNNNNNNNNNNNNNNNNNNNNNNNNNNNNNNNNNNNNNNNNNNNNNNNNNNNNNNNNNNNNNNNNNNNNNNNNNNNNNNNNNNNNNNNNNNNNNNNNNNNNNNNNNNNNNNNNNNNNNNNNNNNNNNNNNNNNNNNNNNNNNNNNNNNNNNNNNNNNNNNNNNNNNNNNNNNNNNNNNNNNNNNNNNNNNNAAAUAGUAAAUUAAUUUUUUUGCUUUUUAAAACAAAAAUACAUAAAAAUAGUAUGUGUGUGGGAUUUUUUUAAAAAAAUCCUAAUUUCUUACGUGGCAAUGACUCGGCACUGAUGUGGUACUGACAUGGCGUGUGUGUAACCCACUCUCCGUUGUGAGAGUGGUAUUCAGUUUUGAGGGUUGAAACAAAUACACUUUAAAGAUGUUAAGGGGGUAAACAAACAGAAGUUAAGUUUAAGUGCUAAAGUGAGUUUGGAGGACAAGUUCAGGGGGAAAAUAUUUCUUUUCUCAAAAGAAUGUGAAGAAUAAUUUUAUAUUUUAGUACUCACUCCAUCCUUUUUUUUAUAUGCUUUUGUUUCAUGAGUUAAUUUGACUUAACUUUAAAACUAACUUAUAUUAAAUUAAUUUAAUUUUAAAAAAAUUUAAUUUAGGUAUUCAAAAACUAUAUGAAAAGUACUAUAAAGUACAAAUUCUUUUUUUUUUUCAUUUAAUUAAGAAAUCCUUCUUAAAAUGUUGAUGAAAGUUUGUACAUUUAAUAGAGGGAGUAUAAGAUGGUUCUUUCAUAUAUUGAUAGUUCUCGCCCUAUCCUCUCCAAAGAAAAUUUGCAAGUAGGGGAGCUAUAAAGAGGAGCAAAGUUAAAAAGCAAAAUUACUAUUUUACAAGGGAAAAAACUAUUUUGGGGGUUCAAAAUUGAUGGUUAUGUCCACUUAUCAGCAAAGUUAAAAAGCUAAAUUAAUAUUUUAUGGAGGAAAAAUGAUCAAAAGGUUUUGAGGGUUCAAAAUUGAUAGUUAUGUCCACCUAUCAGAAGAAGACAUUUAAGCCUAGGUUGAAGUUUAUGUUCCCCUUUUUCAUAUUAUUUGAUCCCUUUUGAUAUGACACAUCCGUCAUGUAAGUUUAUUUAGUGGUAAUCUUAUUAGUGGUGGUUUUGAAACGUUAAAUUUGACUAUUAUAAUAUUUAGUUAUUUAAUACUAACUGCCUGUUUGGAUGGUGAUUUAUCAUGAUUUCACAAUGUAUGAUAUGGUACAGUAUCAUGUUUUAAUAGAUUGUAUCGUUCACUGUGGUUUAAUAAUAGUUUUUUUGUUUGGUUUGAUGGUAUGAUAAGGUAUGAUAACAGGUAAAUUUACUAAAAUGCCCCUAAUUGUAAUACAUUUGAGAUAUCAACUCUUUUAUCCAUAUCAGUGCUAGCGUAACCAGUUGUCCUUUCUUUCUUGAUGCUUCUCAUAACUACCCGAUGAUCCUUUAAGACGCCAAAUUCACAAGGAUAUUUGCUAAACAAAGAUUUGACGAACGCAAGCUAAUACAAUCGGGAAAUAAUUUCCAAUCAAUAAAACAAUUGGUAUACAUGUAUGUAUCUUAGAGUUCAAAAAUCACUUCCCAUGUAUAUAUUUAAUGUGCAUUCAUUCUGUUUCCCUCCAUUUCAAUUUUCAAUUUUUUUUUUAUCGAAUUGAGUUUUUAUUGGUAUUAAAAACUACUACAACUAAAUAACUGUGAUCAUUUUUCUCACUCUUUGAAUUUUUAUAUUGCUAACAGGAAAUCUUGCAAUCUUCGAUUUUGUUAACAAAUGCAUAGUCUUAGCAUGUAUUUUGUUGAUAAGGAUAAAAUAGGAUUAAAGAAAAUUAUAUAAGGGUAUAGUUGAAAAAGAAAAAUAAAAACCAUGGCACACCACCAAUUUAUUAGUUCACUAAAUUGCUUCAUUCCAUGAUUAUCAAACCAUGAAAUAGUAACAUAUCAUACCACCAUUUUUAGAAGCCAUGAAAACAAACAUGGCAUACCAUGGGAAACCACCAUCCAAACAGGCUGUAAGAGUAGUGUGAAACAGAAGGGGAAAACGGAUAUGAAGACGGAAGAGAGAGCAACGAAAUCGCCGAGAUAGGGUUAUGUUUGAAUAAUAUGAGCAACUAUUUUUGGAGGAAUUCUUGAAUUCUAUCUUAUGCACUAUGCUGCACUGAGGAGCUUAAAAUGAAGCUAAGCAUGGAGACACAUACCUCAGUGAGUUGUCAGGAGACCCUCUUGUGAAAUAGGUCGAGAUGGAUUUAUUUAUGUGAUUCUUCAAAGGCAUGAUCCUGGUUUCAACUUCAACUGCUAUUUCAUAUGUCCUUAGUGGUAGACGAGAAAGGCAAAGAUAUGAUUAUUGUUAUCAUGUGAAGAGAUAAUCAUAGAGAACAAAUCCCCACUUAUAUGUAGUUUUGUGAACUAUCCUAUUAAAGUCAAGAUAAUAGUAUGGAAUAAAAUUCUCUUGUUUGCUAAAAUGGAUAAAGUACAUGUUACUGCUGAAUGAAAUAUCUAAUAAAAUUCAAGGUUUAUCUUUUUCCUUCCUUUCCAUUCUUUAUCUAAUUGUGACUCCAUUUGAUUAUGUUAUUUAAUCAUACGUUUGGUAUAUUAUUCAUUAGUAUUAUAAUUGAAUCUUUAUUUAAAAUUAUUUGUUGAGUUUAAAAUAUAAGGUUAUAAUUAAAUAUUGAAUCUGAAUAUGUAGAUUACCGUCAAACAUACAACUCUACUUUGUAUUUUGUUGUUGUACGUUUUUAGAUUCUUUCGAAUGAAAGUUUCAAAAAAUAUAAAUAUCCAAUGAGAUGUUUCAGAUACCAUGCCAUAUGUUUCAAUUUUUCUUUGAGGUUCUUUAAUUUUAUGUCUUUGCCUACUUAUACUUGGAUUAGUGAGAAUUUAAUUGUAAAAGAUGUUAUUUUUAGAUGGAUGUUUUGUUACUUUUGUUUGGUCAAUUCGAUUGUCUAUAUUUUGUUAGCUGUUAUCUUAUUGUGCUCUUAAUUAACUAAACGAAUAAUAAUUUCUUUAUAUUUGAGUUUAUUUUUUUUUCUUUUUAUUGUAAAACAAUUCCUUAACUAUAACUAAAUAUAUUGUGGUGCCUGUAGGAAAUUUUUUAUGGUGGGUGAGGAUUAAAAAAUAUAUGCUGUAGGUCCCAUUUCACUAUAACAUCCCUUUUCUUUUCUCACCCCUCCAACCCCACCUCUUCUUCACCUCUCCGCUAAUAUACAAUAUUUUAAUUUUUUAAAUUUAAAUUUACUCAUGCCAUUUUAUGGCACAAAUUAAAAUAACAUAAUUACAAAAUCAAAGGGCAGCAAAAAGUAAUAAUGAACAUUUGGUCAUAAAAUAAAAAAAUUAUUUUAUUUAUAAAUUUUAAAAUUAAAGCCGAGUUGUGUUGCACAUAAUUUUUGUAAUAAAGGACCCCUUUAGCCAUAAAUAGUAUUCAUUAUAUUUCAUGUACGUUUUUACUUUAUUUCGAAAUAUUUAUUUGAUCAUAAAUAAAUCAAAUAUAAUUUAAAGUUGUAUUUGAAAAUUUGGAAAACAUCUCAAGAGGUGUUUUCACUAUUUAUGAUUUCAUUUUUUGUACUUUUUUCUUUAUUUUUUUUCAAGAAAAUAAAUUUUGAUUUACUUUCAUAAAAUAACUCCAAUUUCAUAGAAUUUUAUUUUUAAAUUUAUUUUCAUAUUAUAUAUAUAUUAUUAAAAAAUAUGUUUGAAUUCUAAAUAUCAACUAAAAUACUAUGACCAGACACAACUCAACUCUAUUUUUAACUUUAAAAUUUUUAAAUAAAGUAAAUAUAUUUUUAAUUUUCAUGAUCAAACGCCAAUUUAAAAUUGAAAGCUAGAUGGUGAAAAUAAAUUUCAUUAAUGAUUAUUCAACUUUGAGUUUAUCAAAAAUAGUUUUAUUUUCUUAUUACAAAAAAUUAUCUAAUUUUAAAGUUUAUCACACACAAUAUUAUUUUAUCACAUAAGGUGUGUUUGAUAAUGAGUACUACCUGUUAAUGAAAAUAUCAAAAUAAAGAAGAAUCAGAUUUGGUAGAGUAAAUAAAUCAAACAUUUUAUUUAAAUCAAAAUAUAAAUAUAUUGCAAAGCAACUAUACUAAGGAAAAAAGAAUAAAAAUAGAGAGAGAAAAAUAGGACCUUUAGGGCUUUGAUUUCUUUUUAUGACAAUGGACCCAUCAUUUUUAUUUGGCAAAAUAUAAGAGGAUCCUUAGAUAAUUUUUGUCCUUCAUGUAAUAUUUGGGCCUCUCACACACUAAGAAGCCGUUUGAUUAUGAAAACUAAAAAUUUUUUGAGUUGGAGUUGCGUUUGACCAUAUCUUUUUUGAAUUUUUUUUUUGACUUUUAAAAAAACUUUUUUAAAUAUGAUUUUAUGUCCUAACUUUUACAAACUAUCAAAAUCACUCAACUAAAAUUUACUUACUAAUGAAAAAAAAACACAAUUAGCCACUAUUAUAAAAAUAAUUAUAUAUACAUGGUCAUAUUUAAUGAAUUUCAAUUAUGACAUAUAUAAUAUUUACAUUAAUAUUCGUUUUCUCAUAUUUGAAAAUUUUAAAUAUCAAUGUUAUAUUAACAGAUCAUGCUUCCUGCUUUUUAGGUGACAAAUAUUAUCUUUUAAACAAAUUUAUUUUUUUAGAAAUUUAUUUAAUUUAUUUCCUUUAUUUUCCGUUCCUAAAAAAUAGAAAAUGAUGAGUUGUUACUAAAUUUUAGGGUGCCGCUAAUUUAUUUCUUUAAUUUUCUNNNNNNNNNNNNNNNNNNNNNNNNNNNNNNNNNNNNNNNNNNNNNNNNNNNNNNNNNNNNNNNNNNNNNNNNNNNNNNNNNNNNNNNNNNNNNNNNNNNNNNNNNNNNNNNNNNNNNNNNNNNNNNNNNNNNNNNNNNNNNNNNNNNNNNNNNNNNNNNNNNNNNNNNNNNNNAUGGUAUAAACUUCAUAUAUAACAUACUUUGUAUAUUUAUAUUAUAAAUAUGUUUAAUAUGUUUCUUAAUACUUUGUAUAUUUAUAUAUGUGCAUAUAUGAUAUAUAUAUGGUAUAAACUUUAUAUAAAACAUAUUUUGUAUAUUUCUAUUAUAAAUAUAAUACUUUAUAUAUUUAUGGGUAUAAAUAUAAUACUUAUAUAUCUAUGGGUAUAAAUAUAAAUUAGCAAUAAAUAAUAUCUUAAAUAAGGAAGAAAAUUAAAUAAGAGAUAAAAAUAAUGAUGAGAGAGAAAAAGAGAUAUAUAUUAAUUAGGAUAACAUUAAGUUUAAAAUUAUAAUUAUCUUAUUCUUUAAAACUGCUAUAUACGUAAUAUUGAAAAAGUAAUGUUAUAAGGAGAGUUUUAUGUAAAAAUUUAAAAGAUUAAGGUUAUAUGUAAUAAUAAUAAAAGUUGAAAUUGGAAUUGAAAAAUUGUGAAAACAACAAAAACCUGUUUUCCUUUUUCAGAAUUUUUUUCGGAAUUAUUUUCUGAAUUUUCAUGGCCAAACACCAUAAUAUCUAACUCCAAAUUUUAUUUUCGAAAAAAAGAAAAAAAAAUUCAUGGUCAAACGGGUCCUAAAAUUUUUCGUGUGCCUGUAGUGCCAAAACACUGCUCUUGUCAUAUCAAAUUAGUGCCAAAAUAUUGCUCAUGUGAUUCUCCCCUUUUUGAUAAUUUCAUCCUUGAUACUAAAGUAGAGUGAUUAUUUUGUUCGAAUUAGAAAUGUUUUUGCCCUUUAUUAAAGCACCUCACAAUAGAUAAAAUUAUCAUUUUAUUAUUUAUUAUAUUCCUUAAAUUAAAAGUCAAAUCAAAUAUUAUAUUUUUUUUACUAAAUUCACAAACCAAGUUACUUUUCCAUAUUUGAAAUUAAAAUUUUUUUAUUUAUGUUAAAAAAAAUCAGAUCUAUAAAAAAUUCUAACAUUAAUAAAAUUAAAUUUAACCACAACUUUGAUACUUUUCAAGGGUAUGAAUAGUGGGUUUUGAGCUAGAGGGUCAAAGACAACACCGAUGGGUUUGGAGUGUUGCUUGACAAUCGACUUCAAAGCUUAGUUAAACAUAUCAUAAUUCAACUAAAUCCAUCAUAUUCAUACAUUCAAGAGAUAUUGAAUUCAAUCAUUGUAUUAAUAUAAUAACAUUUAGUUUCAUUAUUCAUUAUUUAAACAGAUACUGUAUUUAGGAUAAUAUUAAUAGUUCUUUUAAAACAAAUUAUUAUUUUUAUUAUUUUGAAUAAUAAAGUAAUGCACAUGUGCAACAAACGUAUCCUAACCUGCUUAUGUAAAUCUCGUAUCAACACAUAAAAAAUCAAAUUUUUGUUAAAUCUCCCUUCGGUAUGAGUGACAAAAGAAAAACCACAACAUUGGUUGGUCCCUGUUGAGCACUGCCACAAAUGUAAACAUCCAGGGCCCAACUGAUCAUGAUAAGCCUAGAAGGGACACUUUAAUGAAUGGGAAAAGGACAUGGCGUGAUCAUUUUUUAAAAAAAAAUGAAUAUAAUUUGAAAAGGUAGAUAAAUAUAAAUUAUCAACUAAAUUUAAUUUUUUUUUUAGUUAUUUGGCUCAAUUGAACACAUACAGUCUCUAUACUCAAUUGAUACACUUUUAUAUCAUAUUGAUACACUUUUAUACUAUAUUGAUACACUUUUAAUAAAAGAGAAAGGAAAUUCUAUGCAAGUACAUGCGCUCCCUAUACCCAAUUGAUACUCUUUUAUACCAUAUUAAUACACUUUUAUACUACAUUGAUACAUUUGCAGUGUCCAUAUACUCAAUUGAUACUCUCUUAUACUAGAUUGAUACAUUUUUAGAAUACAUGUAGAAACUAUAUAGAGUCGUAUAAAAUAUGUAUCUAAAUAAUAAUUGUAGUUAAAAAUUAUAUAGAAUGUGCAUAUCUAUUUUCUUUUUAAUGUUUGACUUGUUUUAUUAUAGUUCCUCUUUUGGACUUGCAAUAAUGUCGGGGUUGAUUUUUGGAUUUGAAAAAUUACAGUUGAACUAUUGAAAAAAAUUGGAGUUAGGUUUUCCAUUUUGUGUUUGAGUUGCAUUAUCUGCUCCUCAAAAUCCUAUGUAUUUGUUUUGAUCAAAUAAAGUUUCUUAUAGUAAUUUCACAUAACUUUUUUUAUAGUCAAUGUCAUCAUUCCAUAAAUAUACAUAAUGUAUGUUUCAAUGUACAACAAUUGUAGUUAUGUUAAUUUAAAAAAAGGAAUUGGUUUUUAGAAAAAAAUAAAAAGUUGCAAAAAAAAAAGUAGAAAAAUAGUGAAAAAACACAAAAGAGCAGUGAUUUUUUUAUAAUAGAAUGAAACAUCAAAUUAAAAAAAAUGGAACAUAAAAAAAACAGCAAAAUUAAAAAAAUAAAAUGAACUAGCGUUUAAAAAAAAAAUAGGAAAAAACAUGAAGUAACUGACAUGCAAAAUAAUCAAUGGCUGUAAAAUGAAAUUAGUUUAGUGGCUGAUUAGAGGGAAUUAAAUUGCAGUGUCUAUUUAGUUGGAAUUAGUUUUAGCUAGUGGACAUUUUUGUCAUUUCCCUUAAUGAAAACCUUUUUUUUUUUUUCGUUUUAUUAACUGACACAAAUUAUAUGAGAUUGUUUUCUUGCUGGUCAGAUUAGUGGACACAAGUAUAAGAUUUGAAUCCAGUAAUUUAUAAAACAUAAAGGAACCUCACGUAAUUUGUGUUAGUUUUAUAAGGCCAAAAAGUGAGGUGUCUCUAUUCUUACUAGUUAUUUAACUGAUGUCUCAAUGUAAUGCAACUCUUUCCAUUUUAAUUGGGAAAAAACAUAUACAAUUCUGAAAAAAUAAAUUACAAUUCCUGUUCAACAAGCACCACAAGUUUUGGAACCCUCUGUGAUAGUUGAUUAACUAGGAUGAGGUGACACUACAAACUGUUUCUCUUAAUUAGAACAAUCAACAUGGAGGACCAAAUUUUACUGUUUUUUUUCUUUUCCUUCUUUAGCCUUUGCAAUUUCUUCUACUGCACGUUGUUCCAAUUUACUAUUUAUAACUAGUUAAAGUAACAUAUUCGUUUAGUUCAAUUGAAAAGAUUUUCAAUCCAAUCCCCUACAUACUUGGCCAAAAGGUUAAUAUCAAAGAUAAUGCCACAUGUGGUCGUUAAUCGUCAUACUAAAGUAGCUAGGAGGAAAGGAGUGGUUAAUGUGUCGUUUUCAUAUUUAAAGAGGUUUUUUUUUGGGCCGAUAGAACUCAUCAUACUCACCACACAAAACAUACACUACCUCGAUUUCAACUAGUUCGUCUAAUAAGAAAAUUAAAAAAAAUAAAUAAAAUAUUUGAAUCAUAUAGUUUUAAACAUAGAUGUGUAGAAUGCAACAAAUAUUGUUAAAUUUGCAGUUUUAAAUAUGUUACUUAAGAAAUUGAAAUUAAAAAACUACAAACAAGAAAGAUGAGCAAAUUGAAAUUAAAGAAUAACUGAAAAACCAGAACUCAACAUAUAAGCACCGAUUCAUCAUUAUUAAAUUCUCAUAACUUGGUUGGAAUGGAGGAAAAUACACAGGUACAAGAGGAAAAAGAAACAAAGGAAAAAACAGUAGUUUCUGAAAGGGGUAAAAAAAGACUAGGUACAAAUCAAACAAACAUCUCCAUAGGAGGAGUAAUUAUAUGUUGGCUGGCCAUAAGGGUGAAAUUCAGUAGCCUUCUGGCUUGUAGGCGAUGAAACUGAUGCACUGCACUUGACGAACGUUAUCGAAUCCGAUAAUACGGAUCCAGGCCUGUGGGUAAGCCUUCUUGGCCUCUUGGACCUCAUUCAACACCUGGGUAGCGUCAGUGCACCCAAACAUGGGCAACUUCCACAUUGUCCA